AUCAAUACUUUGAGGCACCGCGGAGAUGUCUACGUCAUCAAACGACACCACUUGCUCUCCCUCGAUAUUUAGUGGGCGAGAUACACCACCAGUAUAUUGAGCAACAAAUUCGUUAUUUGUCAUAUCGGUAAACUGAUUGAUACCGAGAGUGUACGAAUUUCCGUUGCGAUUGUUAAAGUUUUCGAUAUGGUUCACGUUGUUCUUGAAAAUCUGAAACCGGAGCAUCUUCUCGUCGUUGUCCUUGUAAACUCGGCCGUACUCCGCCACCCAUUUUUCAAACCGCUUCAUCAUGGGAUCACUUGGUUCGUCACAAGAAGCUGCCGACGGCAAUGCCCGCAUCACACAGAGAAACAAGAAAAGAAACACGAGUUGAACUUUGGAAGCCAUGCUUAUGUAGCACUAAAUAUCUACUAUAUGUAUGACGAAAUUAGAGAUCGAGCUAAAAGAGCUUUUGUUGCUGAGAAUAUGGUCUCAAGAUCGAGUUUAUAUAGAAGUUCAAGCCUUCGAAUGUACGGGGGAGAAUUAAUGGGUGGGGUCCCGAAUUAAGUUACAUGUACUAUAUGAUUUAACUCCGCCAUCCAUUCUUUAUAUGAUUUAACUCCAACCAAGUUACAUCUACUCGCAUGCUUCAAUACCCAAAUAGGUCCUAAUUAAGUUACAAGACAAUCCAAAAUAAGGAAAGCCCAAGUUCUAAGUUGGCACUAAAGUUAAUUUACUGAGUAAAAUUCAAUUUACCCACACCACCACCCCCUGUAAUUUAGUGGAGUUUUACUUUGUUCUUAUGUAGUUUAAAAUAGAAGAAUUUCUUUUGACAAAAUCUACGAGAUGUAGACCCAAUGUGUGUACGUGUGCAAACGUUAUUUUGUCUCUUAUCAAUUCUUAGUAAGGUCGCAAUGGAGAGGGGGACAACUUUUAGGGGCCGUUUGGUUGGAUGUAGUUACAAAAAUGGUGUAGUUUGAAGUACAUGCAAUUGUAAAUGUUCCAGUUUUAACUACACCUAGUCUGUUUGAUUUUAUGCAGUUGCAACUGUUAUAGUUAUAUUUCUUCUGUUUGGUAGUGUGCAGUUGAGAUUUAAAUUUAUAAAUUCUAUCAAAUUUUAGAUAGAAAUGUGAGAUUAUCUCUUUUGAGCAUAACGUAAUCAUAUUUUAAAUAUUAAUUAAAACUUUUAUAUCUAUAUAUAAUUUAUAAAUUAUAAAAUUGUAUAUGAAUUUAAUAAAUAUUAAAUGUAAAUAUAUUAUAAAUUUGUUCAAAAUAAAAAUUAAGAUAUUAUUAAACUAACAAACUGAAAAAUAAGAAGCGCAUGAAAAAAAAUUUAUUUUACCCUAACAGAUAUUACUAAAUCAUAUCAGAUUUCAUGAAUAUGUAUUUUUGAAAAAAAAUAAAAAAAGAAGUGUAUGAAAAAAAAUCACAUUUUGUUUAUUUUUUUAAUAGGUGAGUUGACUCUGGCUCAACCGCUGUAGUUGGUACUACAGCCAAUUUGGCUGCAUUACCAACUGUUAUAGUUGGGCCUUCUCAUGCAGAUCAACUACAGUAGUUGAGUCUAACUACACCAAACCAAACAAAAAAUUAAUAGAUGCAUGUAUUUUCAACUGCAAUGCAAUUGAAAAUACAUGCAACCAAACAGCCAAGUUCGAGCUAAGUUUAUUUUUAAAUGAAAUAAACGGAGCAAUACCCAUCUCUUAAAAAAAAGAAUUUUUUUUGGCAAAACCUGCGAGAUGUAGACCCAAUUGCCCAACGAGAAUAGGACUGAUAAAGACUUGCAUGAAUGAAAAAAGUUAUAUUUAAAUUUGAAAAGUACUAUUGUCCAGAAUAUUUUUUUUUAUAAAAAAAAAUAGCACACUAUCCGCUUCAUUUACUAAGGAAUUGAAUUAGACUGUAAUGAUGAAGCAACCGAGGCCUCGAGAGAGAUAGGGAAAAAAAAAAAAAUCUAAUGUUCAGAAUAGUUAUUUAGCAUUAUGAAAGAUUUUUUUAAAAAAAAUUUAUGAAUGCCACGCUUAUGUAUUAAUUAAAAUAUCACAAUGCCCUCAUAAAUUAAUAAUAUCAUUCAUGCUCUUUUAAAUGGUCAUAAAUAUUAUAGUAAAUAGCUCCCGUGAUUAGUCUCUAUCGAAAAAUCUUGUCAUUAAUUGUUAUAAAAUAUUUAUUUUUUCACCAUUAGUAUAAUAACCCGUGCGAUGUUAUAAAUAAAUAGUGCAAUGAGAGAGAGAUGAGCGUGGUGGUGGAAGAUUAGAUGAUAAUGUUGCAUGAAAAAUAAUAGGUCAUGCAAAAGAGAGAGGGCGGAGGGAUUAAUGAAGGAGGGGAGUUGAUUGCAAUUACAAAAUACACUCAUUAUUGGAGGAGUUAUAAAGCCCAUUGAUUAGUAGGGGGCGGGAUUAAUGUAGGCCUAGAGGGGAGUGAACUGGAAUUAUAAAGCCCACUCAUUAGUAGAAUAUAAUGUAUGUAAUUAAAUAUUACAUAAUAAAUUAAUUAAUUAAUUUAAUCUCGAGUGAGUGCUAGAAAAAUCACCAUUGGAAGAGAAAAAGCCAAGAAAAAGACAAUGAAGAAGGUAGCGCCAUGUUGGAUAAGAAAUCGAGGUUUAAUAUAGAGUUAUAGAAGAUUAUAGAUUAUAGAUAAUAUGACAUAAUUAUUGUUCUUUAAAAACUGAAAAAUGAUACGGAGCAUGAGGUACUAAGUUUAAAUCUUAUCAAUCUAGUUUCAUUUAAUUUCUUUUCAUCUAACUUAAGUUAAUUCAAGUCCAUAUUUUAAGUCUAUUAAAACAUCUCGAGCCUAAACUCAAGGAAGAGUGUUGAUUUUAAGGGCGUGUUUGGUUCGAAGUUGGAGUCGGAAUCGGAAUCGGAAUCAAAAUAAGUUGGAAUCGGAAUCGGAAUGACUCAUUACCUAAUUCUGUUUGGUUCAUCACCUGAAUCGGAAUCGGAAUAAAUCAUUCCUAUUGUCGGUGUUUGGUUCAGGUGGAUAUAAAAAACGUAAUCAAAUUAAUAUACUAACAUUAUCUUUAUAAUAUAUUAAUUUAAAUUCAAAUUAAAUAUUAAAUAUUAAAAAUUUACAUCAAAAUUUUGAAAUAAUGUCAAAAUUUUAAAUCUAUUUUUUUUAAAAAAAAUUAAACUUUGAAGUUGAGUGGAUAAUUCAAAAUGUGAAACUAAAUUUUGAUUUAUUCAAAUUCAAACUAAAAUUACAAUUUAAAUUUUAAUUUGAAUCUAUAAAUUUAAUUUAAGUUUGAAAUAAAAUUUGAAUAAAACUUUAUAUAAAUUAAAAUUUAAUUUAAAUUCAAAUUCAUAAGUUAGAUUCGAAAUACUUGAUUAAAUUUUAAUUUUUAAUUUAAGUUCAAAUUAAAAUUUAAAAUUAUAUAUUUAAUUUUUAAAUUUUAACUUAUAUUUUAAUUAAAAAAGUUGAAAAAAUAAAUUUAAUCCGAAUAAAUAUUCAUUCCGUCCUGAUUCAACUUCCAAUCCGGCAUUCUAGGCCGGAUUGAAAAAUGAGGUGAUUGGGGGAUUCCCAUUCCACUCGGGAAUGGGAAUCGGAAUGAGACUCCCGCGUACCAAACACCCACAAACGGAUUCAUCCAUUCCGAUUCCGAUUUUAGGGUGAAAAAGAAGCGAACCAAACACGCCCUAAAUAUUAAAAAUAUUGCUUUUUAAUAACUUAAGUUUUUAGAGAUAAAUAUUUCAUUUUUUUUUAUAGAUUUUAUUUUUUUUCCAUAUUAUAGUGAACGAUUAUACUUAAUUACCAUUAGAAAAUAAAGAAGUGUACCUUAAUUUAUAUGAUUUUACUCCAACCACUUUUCAUCUACUAGCAUGCUCCAGUUCCCAAAUGUGUCCUAAAUUAGAAGACAAUCCAAAAUAUGAAGAGCCCGGGUUAGAAGUUGGCAACUAAAGUUAAUUUAAUGCGUAAACUUCAAUUUACUCUCCAUGAUUUAGUAGAUUUUUACUUUGUUUUUUUGUAGUUCAAAAGUUGCACUUAAUUAUCAUAUAAUUUUAUUUUUAUUUUACCAAUGGAAUGACAUAAGUUAGGAAAGUAAAUUUAUUUAUAAAAAAAAAAUCAUAAAGUGAUAUCCUGGUUAACAAUAAGGGCAUGUUUGGUUCGUACAUUUUGGAUCCGAAAUGGGAAUCGGUUUGAUCAAAUCCUGCUAAUUUUGUUUGGUUUACAGGAAUCGGUUUGGGACUCCCAUUCCGGAUCGAAAUGGGAAUGGUCCAUUAGCUUACAAAUUAAUUCCGGUCUCCAGGCCCGGAUUGAAGUUUCAAUUCCAAGCCCAUACUCACCUCUUCCUCAGACCCAGCCUAACGUUUCUCCAUCUUAUCCAUUCUUUCUCUCCAUAUACCAAUCUUUUUUCUCUUUUGUCAUCAUUUAAAAAAACGUGAUAUAUUAUUUUUUAUUACAAUUUUAUUCAAAAAAAUUUAUGCAUUUUUUUGUAAUUUUUUGCAUAAAAAUUUUUAAAAUAAAUUCCUUUUUUUUGGCAUAGCUCUGACUUGAGAAUAGUAUUAAUUUUUUUUUUUUAUAAAUUUUAGAUAGUUUUAUAAAAUUAUAUUUAAAAGUAAAGUUAGAAUUAUGUUAUUCUAUUAUUUUUUACUUUGUAUGAACCAAAUAGUAAAAUAGGAAUAAUUCAUUCCAAUUUUCAAAUCAGAAAUGAACCAAACGUCUUGGAGGAGUAGGGCAAUCCAAUUGUCAUUUCAAUUCAUUCUCAUUCCAUUAUUCAUUCCAAUUUUACUCUUGAACCAAACAAGCCUUAAAUUCUUAUAAUAAAAUAAAAAUUAUAUUAGUAGAAUAGUUAAGUAUGUUUAACUUUUCAAAUCAUGUAAAAAGUGAAUUAAAAAAUAUUAAACAACAGUACGAAAAAUUAAAUUUACCUAAUUUAAUUCAUCACGCUAACUCGAUCCCAAUUCAUUCAUUUCCUUGAUCCAAAGAUUCUACAAUCUCAUUCUCUCAACCUUGUCGGAGUGCAAAUUAAAUAUAUAUAUGGUACAUCAAAAGUCAAAUCAUGCAUUAUAAUUUUUUAAUGUAUAAAUUUUUUUAAACUUUAUAAAAUUAUAUCAAACAAAUUAAAUUUUAAUUUUAAAAUUUUUUAGAGGAAAAUAUAAUUAGUUACACAUUUACUUCAUUUUGAUAUCUUUUUUUAUCCCCGAGUAAAACUUAGUAAGAGAUGUAGUGCCAACAUGCAUAUGCUGAUCCUUGAAACUUUUUAGAAUGUAUCCGUUAUCUUGAUAGAGUGGCAUCUCCAAUCAAUCAAAGAAUUUUUUUUAAAAUUUAUUCGUUCCAUAAUAAUUAUAAAAGGUAUAAUUUUAUUAUAUAUUUAAAAAUAAUUAUAAUUAAUUUAUUAUUAAUAAUAUGAUAUUAUUAUUAAUGAUGUGAUGUAAGUACGGUACUAGACUUUUUUCUGCUAAGCCAGCUAUAAUGACUUUCAGGACGGAUAAAUGCAGUCCAUUAUAUUUCUAUACUAUUUUAGGAAGCAUUUUGCUCGUCCUUUGUUUGGACAGAUGCAAUCAUGAAUGAGAGGGCCCGACAAACCUUCACUCCGUACACAAGAGUUAUUGCAGCUGAUGUGUUGUUUAUUGGAAGCGGACCACGUGUUGCACGUACGGAAGAGGGAGUGAUAAGAAAAAUCUCAUAAAUUAUUAAUACCGUCCAGGCUCUCUUGAGCUAUUAGGGUGUGUUUGGUUGCACGUAAAAUUAGAAAAAAAAUUAAUUUAUUAAGAAAAAAAAAUUUUGGUGGAAAAAAAAUUUUACGCCUUUAGUUAUAUAAGGAAAGAAAAAUAUUUUUCAUGACUUUGUUUUAUUGAAAAAAAAAAAAAAUAAAAAUUAUUAUAUAAUUUUUAUUUAUAUUAUUAAAUAUUAUUUAUAAUUUUAUUUAUAGAUUAAAUAUAUUUAAAAUUAUAAUAAUUAUAUACAUGAUAUCUAUAUAGAUUAAUAUAUUUAUGAGAUAUUAAUAUAUAUAUAAUUAUAAAUAUAUUAUAUAUGGUUGUUUUGGGUUGAAAGACAUAAAAAAAGAAAGAGUAAAUAAAAAACGUUAUAUAUUCAUUUUAUAUGUAUAUAUAUUAUUAUUCAUAAUACGCCAUCAAUUAUUAAUACUAUAUAAUUUUAAAAUUAUUAAUAAGUAAUAAUAAUAUAAUAGCAUAAUGUAUAUUAUUAGUAUAAAAUAAAUCACUAUAUUAUUUAAUAAAUAAUAUUUAUAAACUGUUGAUAUUAUUAUAGUAUAUAUAUAUAUAAAUAAUAUAUAUUAAAUAUUAUAUAUAUAUAAGAAGAGAGAGAGUCACGAGGCCGGGUCCUCGUGGACUCUCUUCACACGGUCACGAGGGAGCAGUUCACUCGUUGGACCGCAUGUUAAUAGCCUGUGCGCGCCCGGAUUUUUCAACCAGUGGUUUUGUCCGGCCGAGCGGAAAACUAAAAUAGCUUCGUUUUUUAAGGAAAUCUGUAAACAAAUUUGCCUGUAAAGAUCUUUUACAGACAGCCAAAGAUAGGAAAAAAGUUUCAACGAAAAAUUAUUUUUCAGAGACUGCAUUUACGAGGUCCUAACGGCCCUUAGUCUCUAUCAAAAUAAUCGUGAUAGUUACAAAAGCACUUAAUUUUACCAUUGGCCUGAGAUUAAUCAUUUGCUGUUCGCUUAAUAUUCUAUAGCUGAUAUUUCAAAUUUUUUGAAAAUGCCUGUAGUUAUUUUAUCAAUAAUUUUCAUCAUUCACGAAUUACACCACCUAAGAUAAUUUAAAAUUUAAAAUUUAAAUUAAAAUUCUAAAAUAUUAAAUUUAAAUUUUAAAUUCUGAAGUUCAAAUUGGUGUGAAGGAAAAUUUGUUCCAAGACAAACUUCUUUUAAUUCUACAAUUAAAUUUGAAAUUCAAAUUAUGUAUUUUGAAUUUGAAUUUCAAAUAAAACUUGGAAAUUAAUAUAAAUAUUGAAUUAAAAAAAUCGAAAUAUUGAAAGUUAAUUAGCUAUAAUAAUUUCUUAUAUUUUGGCAUUCAAGGACGAUUUGAGUUAUAUUCGAAAGCCAAAAAUCAAAUUUUUAAAUUUUAAAUUAGUAAAUUUACUAAUUUAUAAAUUAGAUAUAACUAUUAUUAAUAUUAAAAUUCAAAAUGUUAUAUAUUGUAAAUUUUUAGUGAUGAUGGAGGGCUCAAGAUCUGGUAGUUUAAAUGUAAAACUUGAAAUUAGAAAAAUUCUAUAUUAAAUUUUUCGGAAAUAUUUAGUCAGAUAAAGUUCGGAAUUAUUUUACAACUAUGACUAGUCAGCAGCUCUGGAACUAAGAUUAGGAUAACACUCCGUGACGUGAGAUAAAAUAAGAAAUAUUUAUGAUAUAACUCAUUCUAUUGGAAGAGCAUAUAUGAUAUUUUAAUAUUUUUACAAGUAUCUGCGGUAGUUUAAGAUUUUGAGGAGUAGUUAUGAAACUGUCCCCGCAUUUCAAAAUUUGGAAAAUUGAUCUCCCUCACUUGCGGAUUUCAUGUAGUACAAUUUUUAGACAGUGUUCUUAAUGCAAGUAACAAAUUAUAAGCAACUUUAAAGAAAAAAAAGUUACCUAUUUUUAGGGAUCACAUUUCGAAAAAUCUGAAGAUGAGUUUUUAGCUGUCCAGAUUUCACACUUUGAUAAAAAAUAUGAUCUGAAUAAUCAUAAAAGGGGAUAGCUUACGCUUACCUAUUUUUAAUAUGCACAAGACAUCGACUAUAAAUAUGUGUUGCUAAAAGUAAAAUUUACUUUUGUCCAAAUAAGUGAAAGAUGGAAUUAUUAAAUUAAGGCCAAUUUGCAUAAAAAAUUCACUAAUUUUGGGUUUUUGCAAAAGUGUGACUUUUUUCGUUUUUGUAGAUUCGGUCUGAAUUUUCAGCAAACUGAUCAAAAUACUUUUAUUAUUUUUUCUCUCUCCUCUUUCUCUCUCCUCUUUUUUUCUCUCGUUUAUUUUUUUUUCUCUCGUCGAAGAAAGCAGCGGAGGCAGAGGCGGAGGCUGAAACCCCCUGCCACGCCUUUCACCCUCAUGCUCUCGCCCUUGCCUUUGGUUUUUCUCUUUUUUGUGAUUGUAUCAGCUUUUGCUGAGAAUACGAGUUUAUAGUAAAAAUUCGAUUCGACGCUUCCGUUGUGUAAUCCCAACAAUCGGCUCCGAAUCCACAGCAAUCGGUAUCGAAGCGGGUUGCGAAUUCUCAAAAUCCGGUACCAAGACGAUUACCGAAUUCCCAAUAUAUAUAUAUAUAUAUAUAUAUAUGAGUCCGGCUACUGUACUAUUGAUAGUACCAAGCCUUUGGUACUAUUGAGUUUUCUACCGUUAGAUGUACUCUUUGAUCAUUUCCACCCGUUAGAUUAUACUAUUAAGCCAACCACCCACUCAACCUCAGGGGACCACUAUCAACCUAACCGCACAUCCUUUCAUCCAACGGCCAAAAACUCAAUAGUACCAAGGGCUUGGUACUAUUGAUAGUAUAGUAGCAUAAUUCUAUAUAUAUAUAUGAAUUAGCCUGAAAUACUAUUAAUAGUAAAACGCUCUAUUUGCUAUCAAGUUUUUAACCCUUGGAUGAAAAAUUGUAAGGUCAGGAUGAUAUUAGUCAGUUAUAGUUGAGUGGUCCCCCUAGGGUUGAGUGGUCUCUAUUGGGUUAUAGUAUUUAAUCCAAUUGUUAGAAAUAAUGAAAAGAGUUGAUCCAAAAGCUAAAAAACUGGUAGCAAUAAUAGGAUUUUGCUACUAAUAGUAGCCCAGUCCAAACUAUAUAUAUAUAUAUAUUAAAACACCUCUCUUUAAUUACUUAAGUUUCUAUAUAAAAAUAAUUGUUUCACAUCCUUUCAUAAAUUUAACUUUUUUCAUAUUAUAAUAAAUUGAUUAUAAUAUAAUUCCUACUGUUCAAUUAGAAAAUAAUGAAGUAUAUCUUUAUAUGAUUUAACUCCAACCAAGUUUCAACUACUAGCAUGCUUCAAUACCCAAAUAGGUCCUAAGUUACAAGACAAUCCAACAUAAGGAAAGCCCAAGUUCUAAGUUGGCACUAAAGCUUAUUUACUGAGUAAAAUUCGAUUUACCCACACCCCCUACCCCUGUAAUUUAGUGGAGUUUCACUUUGUUCUUAUGUAGUUUAAAGGUUGCAUUUAACCAUCAUGUGAUUUUUUAUUUUUAUUUUAUCAAUAGAACUUGACAUCAGUUAGCAAAUUGAAUUUUUUGUUCUGUUUAACACUAAGUCUUUACAAGAAAAUAAAAUUAAUAUUAUAGGAUAGUUAAGUAUAACUUUUCAAACCGCAUAAUAACAAAGUGAAAAAAAAUAUUAAACAGCAGUAAAAAAAAUUAAAAAUUACCUAAUUAAAUUCAUCAUACUUACUCGAUCCCGAUUCAUGCAUUUGUUUCCCUUCAAAGAUUCUACAAUCUCAUUUUCUCAACGAUAUCUGAGUGCAAAUUAAACAUGUAUUAAACCAAAAAUCAAAUCACGGAUUAUAAUUUUUUAAUGCAUAAAUCUUUUAAAUUUUAUAAGAUUAUAUCAAAUUAAUUAAAUUUUAAUUAAUUUUCAAAUUGUUUAGGGGAAAAGAUAAUUAGUUAUUCGUUUUGUUCAUUUUGAGAAUUUCUUUUGGCACCGACUAUUACUAGUGCAAGUAAUAAAGAGAUUGGUGGUUGGUAUUCGAAAUUCUAAAUUCGAACUAAAUUUAUUUUUAAAUAAAAUAAACAAAUCGAGUAGCAUGCUACCUACCCAUCUCUUAAAAAAACAGAAUUUCUUUUGGCAAAACCUACCAAAUGUAGACCCAAUGUGUGCGUGUGCAAACGUUAUUUUUGGCAAAACCGACUAGAUGUAGACCCAAUGUGUAAUGUGUACGUGUGCAAACGUUAUUUUUGGCAAAAUCAACUAGAUGUAGACCCAAUGUGUACGUGUGCAAACGUUAUUUUGUCUCUUAUCAAUAGUUAGUAAAGUCGCAAUCGAGAGGGGGACAACUUUUAUUGCAGCUGAUGUGUUGUUAUUCAAAUUAUGGGAGCAGUUGUUGCCCAACGGGAAUAUAAAGGACUGAUAAGAGACGUGCAGGAAUUAAAACAAGUUAUAUUUAAAUUUAAAAAAUACUAUUGUUCAGGAUAGUUGUUUAGCAUUAUGAAAGUUUUUUUAAAAAAAAUUUAAGAACGCCACGCUUAUGUAUUAAAAUAUCACAAUGCCCUUGUAAAUUAAUAAUAUCAUUCGUGCUCUUUUAAAUGGUCAUAAAUAUUAUAGUAAAUAGCUCCAGUGAUUAGUUUCUAUUGAAAAAUCUCGUCAUUAAUUGUUAUAAAAUAUUUAGUUUUUUACCAUUACGUACUAUUAGUAUAGUAACCCGUGCGAUGUGAUUAACAGAUAAUUAAAGGAAAAAUAAAAAACGGCGACAAAGAAAGAGUAAACGACAAUGGAAGAAGUGACGGUGAGGAGAUUCAUCCCGCUGAUAAACGAAGAUAAAAGUUGAAGAAAGAGGAAAAGAUAUAGUUUGGUCUAAUGCAGAGUUGUGAUCCAGUUUGGUUCAUGCAAAAAAAAAAAAUCCGAUUCGGUUCAAGCAAAAAAAAAAGAAAAGCUUGAGACGGUUUGGGGUAAAACCCACACUCUAUAGUGAUUGAUUCAGUUUAAAUAUAAAAAAAAGAAAAAAAUUGGUUCAAAGAUGGAAACAUGUGGAGCAGUUGGGCUGGUUUAGCCCAAUGGAACAGGUUGAUCUAAUUCGUUUCAAGUAAAGAAAGAGAGAAAUCAGACUCGUUCCACGUACGUAAAGAAAGAGAAAAAUAUGUGAAAAACUUAAGCCGGUUUUCAGAGGAGUCUACACUCAACAAUGAUCAGUUCGGUUCAAGUAAAGAAAAAAAAAAUCCGAUUAGAUUCAAGAAAAAUAAGGAACAAAAAAUGGAGAAGUUGAAUAGGUUCUUGAUGAAGCUCACACUUAAUAAUGAAAGGAAUGUUAUUAUGUGGCAAAACUAGAAAGCAUAACGUAUAGGGAUAAAUUGAUAUCGUUAAUGUUGCUUAAAUUUUCUAUUGCUGAUAUUCAAAGUUUUCUACAUCAUUAAUGUCGCUUAAAUGGUAUUCAAAAUUUUCUAUAGCGUAUUUUCCAAAUUUAUUAGAACUAAGAUUAGGAUAAUGCUAUUUGACAUGAGAUAACAUGAGAGAUAUUUAUGAUAUUUUUAGAAGUAUUUGUGAUAGUAAAAGAUUUUGAGGAGUAGCUAUGAAGCGGUCCCUAAAAAUCUCUGCAGUUCGAGCUCUCACAACCUCGUUUCAAAAUUUGGAAGAUUUUAUGUAGUACAAUUUUUAGACGGUGUUCUUAAUUAAGGGAAGAAACUUAUAAGCAACUUCAAAGGAAAAAAAGUUAUAUACUCGAUCGCGUAUAAUUUGGAAAUUUGAAUAUGAGUUUUGUCCUUUUUUUUUGAGAGAGAUCUAGAAAGGUAGCAUAAUACUCGCUUUGUUUAUUUCAUUUAUAAAUAAACUUAGCUGAAAAUGUGAAUCAAAUAGAAUUCGAAUUUGGAUCUCGAGUACCAAGCACCAAAUCCUUUGCCACUUGCUCUAGAGACAGUCGGUGAUAAAUAAUAUGACUUGAACACUCGUGCAAGGUGAUAGCAUAUACCCUCACCCACUUUUCAUAUGCACAAGACAUUAAUUAUAAUGUAUGUUUGUAAUAUACCGGAUUUUUAAUAUAAAAAUAAGUGUAAAUAAAAAUAGUGUAAAAUACUAUUUUUAUUGGACUUAGAGAAUGGAAACAGAAGAUUUAGAAUUUUCUGUAAGAAAUGAGAUUGAUAUUUUAGCAGAAAAUUCAGUGUCAGAAAAUUAUUUUUGUUAGUGACAAUGUUGGCGGUCUCGAGGCGUGACAAUGUUGGUGCAAGUAAAAUUUAUUUUUGUCCAAAUUAAUAUGGAAUAAGUAAUGAGAUUUGAAUUCUUUUUAUUAACCCUUCAACUCAGUUUGUUCUACUUACAGUACGGCGUUGGACCACUGUGUUAGUUAAUUCGCGUAUAAUACGCGAAUUAUACGUGAACAAACGGAAAACCAUAAAAAACGCUCCGUUUACGAAUUUUUUUCCAAAAAACCGAAAAAAACACGUUUUUCUCCCUCCCUCAGAUUAUUCGCGAUAAAAAUGGUUUUUCCGAGUUAUAUUUCGAAAAAUUCGGAUGUAGCAGCGGUGGAAAGAUAAAAUUUCUUGAGAAAUUUGGAUUUGGUGGCUGCAGACUGAUGAAAUUUUUUGGACCAGCUUUUUGGACCGGCAUCAGGCGAGCACCAUUCCGCAAAUUCGCGCACCUCUUCGUGAGCAAUCGAGCAACUUUGACUGUUCAAUUUUGAAGGAAACAUGCAGACCGAGCGAAGCAAAGAAGAAAAGGGGCGAGCGAGGAAGAAGGAGGAGCUUGGAAAAAAUCGCAUUGUAUGUUGGAAAAUAGUAGGGUCCACGAGGCUGCAUUCAAGGCCUUUGAAAACCACAAACAAACUACAAUCCUAAUUAAAGAGAGUCAUCGAUAUUUACAAUCCUAUUAAUAGAGAAUCAUUGAUAUGUCCUAGUUCACCUACUGAUCAACCACGAUAAUUAUAAUAAAAUCAAACUUAUAAAAUAUUGAAAUAUAGAAGAAGGCUUGACUAACAAAUAUAACAAAUAAGUUAAGUCCCCUUAAUCAAAUUUGUAUCUUGGAAUAAUCUCUCAUGCUACUUCUUCUUACACUCAACUACUGUACUUUUCUCUUUCUAAGGUGUUCAAUAUGUGCAUUCAAUAUGUGCAUAGUGUUUCUAUUUAAUUUGCUUUCUUUUUAAUUUUUUCGACAUGAACUUUUUUUUUGAACUUUUUUUUUAUUCUUUUUUCCUUUUCCACUUCACUAUUUCUUUUCUUUUUUCCUUCUCUACUUCCAUCGCAUCAUUGGAAUCCGAAUGUAGCAAUGUAAGUUCCAUCCAGAUUUAAUGCAAAUUAUAGUGAACAGCAUAGAAAUUUGCACUUUUUUUUUUGCAUAUUUUUUUAUUCAGCAAGAAAACAUUUAAGUUAGCAAUGAUAAUAAAAAAGAAGACAAUAUUAAAAUGAUACAAACAACAAUCAACUCUUAUAUCGAAAAAAAGGUAUGAAGACACAGAUCACACAAAACUUAGCCAGUUCCCGAGCAAACAAAAGAAAAGUCCCAAAAUUAGGGAUUCUGUGCUUCGAGGGGCAUAGAGGCCUUUUUACUCCUAAAUUAUUUUCGAUGAUGAAAUUUUCGAAUCGAUGAUCAAUUCCGUUAUAUUUGAUCUAGCGUAUUUGAAGUAUAUAGAAAAAGAUUUGAUCUAGCGUAUUUGAAGUAUAUAGAAAAUAAAUUUUACGUUUUUUCGAUAAUUCUUUAAUGAUCGAAAGCGUUCAAAAUUAAUGGCUGAAAAUAAAGAAUGCAUAAAAAAUGAUGAUAUAAAGAUCGUAUUAAAAGUUAGGGUCAAAAUUGGAUUGGACUAUAAAUAAAUUAGUUCAUUUUUAUUUCAGGAUGGAAUGCAAAUCAAAAUUUGCUUUUUGUAAAGCAAACAAUACAUUCGAAAUAAGUGAAUGUUCAUUUUUAUUUGCUCUCUUGCAUUCUUAUUUUUGUAGCUCCCCACAAUAAAUGCAAUAUUUUCCAAAAAUAUUAGAAAAAUUAAAGAAUAUAUACACCCUCAUAAUGUGUACAUAUUAUUGUAAUGUGCAUGUCCCUGGUCAAAACUUACGUGAGGUUAGUUUUCCAAAUUAUCUAUUUAAAUUGUUGGAUCUAGCAUGUCGUCAGAAAAAAUUACGUGGAGUUAGUUUUCCAAAUUAUCUAUAUAAGAAUGUAAGAUUUAUUACCACGUAGGUGUUAAAUCUCACAUUCUGAGAUAAUUUGAUAAGGUAGUUAGAAUUUUUCUUCUCUCUACUAUUAGUGGUCCCAAACUUCUUUUAGACCUACUGCCUGGAAAAAUUAUAAGGUACACCAAAAAGUUACAAAAAAAAAAAAAAAAAAAACAAAAAAAACAAAAAAAGAAAUAAACCAAGCCUAGCCUAGAUGCUUGUUGGUUGGUACCCGAGAUUCUAAGUUCAAAAUCUAAUUACUUCACAUUUUCAAUUAAGUUUAUUUCUAAAAUUAAUAAACGAAGCACAAAACAAAAACUUUCAAUUUAUUUGGAUAAUUUAUUAAUCCUAUCCUACUUAUUUUAGAAAAAAAAGUUAUAAUAUUUAAUAAGAAAGAACCAAAAGAGUCUAAUGGAUUUAAAAAAUUAAUAAUUGGAGGAAAGGAAAUUCUAACUAGCUUAUCAAGUUGCCUCAAGAUAUGAAAUUCAAUAUGUAUGUGACGAUACCGACCGUCCCUAGCGCAAGUGGUAACAAGGCUUGAUGGUUGGGAUCUGUGACCCAAUUCGAAUCCUUGUUGAUUCACAUUUUCUAGUCAAGUUUAUUUCUAAAUGAAAUAAACGAAACGAGUAGCAUGCUAUCUUUCUCUCAAAAAAAAAAAAAAAUCUGUAUGUGACGAUAAAUUCGACAUUCUCAAAUAGAUAAUUUGAAAAACUCUCUUGUGCGCAAUUUUUGGCAAUGUCACCUAUGCAUCAAAUUGUAUGGGACCAUUUCCAUUAACUUCGCACGAGCAUUAUCUCGAAGUAGGUGUCUAGGUGAUGGAAAGUGUUUGGGGGUAAAAUGUACGGCCACACCCUCAACUACAGGCCAUUCCAAGCUUGGAUCCCAAACAUUUCCUCUUUUUUUUUCUGAUAUUUUUUUUGUUUUAAAUUUUUGAUAAAUUGAGAUGUUUUAGUGAAAUACAUUAAGAAUUUUAUCAGAUUUUCCUUGACUCCAUAAGAAUCAGAACUAAACGAUGUUUAGCAAGGUAAUAAUUCAUCUUGUUUUAUCUUAAGAACAUGGUUAUAACUUAUAAGCGGGGAUGAAGCUAGAAUACAAAAAGAAACUUUAGCAAAUAAACAAGAUUUUACCUAAUUUAAUAUUUUAAUAAAAAAAUUUAUUAAUUAAAUAAUUAAUAAAAAUAUGAACUUUAUUUUUUUUCUAUUUUCAGACGUUUAACUUCUAAUUAAUUAUUUUAUUUAUAUUAUUACAUUCAAAUAACUUAAAAAUUUUACAAAAUCUAACGGUGAUUUCUUAAUUUUUAGUAAAUAAAAUUAGCAUAGCUAUUAAAUUUGGUGUAAUCUUUUAUAUAGUUAAAUAAAAUAGCUCAACUAACAUAGUUAGAAGUUAAAAAAAUAUUAAACGAAAAUUAUAGAGCGGAGAAAUAUAUUUCAAAAUGCUCUAUGAGUAAGUGGCUCUUAAUAUAUUUUCACUUACAUAAAGAGUAUACAAAUAAGGAGAGGGAGAGUUAUACUAGCACCACGAGCUAUUAAGCAAAUAUUAAAAAGCUAGGAGAACCACGACUACCCAAAAAAGAGAGCUGAAUAAAUACCAAAAAGUAUUGAGAAAAUAUUAAGAAGUUGGGGGGAGCCAUGGCAACUUUUUUUUUGUUUUUUUUUUUUUGUUUUUUUUUUGUUUUUUUGCUUUUUUAUUUUUUUUCACCUUUCGUUGAGGCCUUGCUGCCUCACCCAUGUAGCUUAAUUCACUUACUGAAUGAAUAAAGUGGGUAACGCGCUACCUUUCUCUCAAAAAAAAAAAAAAAUGUGGGAGCCUAAGAUUUAUUUUGGUAUCAUGUUAAUCAAGAGAUUCAUAUAUUAAGAAAUAAUUUACUAAUUUAAAAUCAUUUGUCAUGCAAAGUAUAUCAAAUAAAAAUGAAAAUACAUGAUGUACGUGGAACAUAAUAUUAGACACACAUUGGGUGCAAUUCUUACACAGAUGCACUUUGCCUGUCCAUAAUGGAUGGCUCAAAUAGAACUACCGGUCUCGCGCUUGGAACUAUAGAGAAAUUGGGCCUUAAUGUCUCUCUUGAUUGAUAAACUAUUUUAUCUAGUUUCAUAUAUUAUUACAUAAGCUAUUUUAUCUAGUUACAUAUAUUAUUAGGAAAUAGAUCCAAUUUCAUUUGUUCCUUCUGUUUUAAAUAAAAUAGAUAUCAAUCACUAGGCGAAGCCUAAAUAUGAUAUUCUCUAGCUACUUAGAUCUUAAACAUCAUUAAGGUCCUAUUUAAAUGUCGGAAUAAGUUAUUCCAAAAUAGCUUAUUAGGUAUAAGAAAUUUCUAGUGUGAUUAUAAGAAAGAAGCUUUUUUUUUUUUUUUUUCUUGAAAGACUUUGAUAUCCAUAAUUUGAUAGAAUAACAUAUUUAUUUACGAGUGAUUUGUCUUAUUCGAAAAAUGGCGUAAAGGGUGAAUUUAUACUCAUUUAUUAAUAUUUGAUCACACACCUCAUGUGUUAAUAUGUUUUAACUUUUCAUACAAAAUUAAAAAGAUAUACCGAAUACGAUAUUUAUACAUUCAAAUCGGGUUGAAGUUAUAUAUGACGGUAUCAAUCCAACUCGGAUUAAACUUAAACUAAACCAAUUCAUUCAAAAAAAAAAAAAAAAACCAAACCACACCAAUUAAAACCUGUCUUAUUGGAGAACCGCCAAAGAGGAUGGAGCGGGGCCAAGUCUCUCAUGGUGCUACUACUAUAUAUGUGGGCUAAGAGCCAGGUCGAUCCGUAUAGAAUUUUUUUUUCACAAAAUUAUUUUUAUAUAGAAUAAAGGUUUUUUAAUAAAUAUUUUUUAUUUAUGGUAAAUAUCAAUGACCAUUUUUAUAUACAUUUUUUAUAUUUAUUCUUCAUUAUACAUUGGCUUCAUAGUACUAGCUAUCGUCUAACACAAACACUUAUUUCUAGAAUACGCGCAUACACAAUUGCCUUGCAUAAGGAGACAAAUGUUCGAUCCAUUUUGUAAUACUAAUAAGAAACAGUACUAGAUCACAGUAAUUAAGGAGCACACUCUCUAUUGUAGAUCUUUAAACUAGCUUACAUACUCACUGAACACACCGAAACAUAACAGAAAUUAACCACAAGGUCGAAGCAAGCAGCUGAACAAAUGGAUGCGUACAUGCAUCCUUAUUUAUAACUAAGCAAAUAUGAUAGCAAACUGCAUGCAGUGCGUUGCUAAUCAUCACUGCCGACCUACACUGAGCUUCGACUUUCAAAAACAAUCUAAAUGACUUCGACACUGGGCCCUGAUUGUAGAGUGGGAUAGAGAGGGUCCAUGGCGAUUCCACAUAAUCCAAAUGACGAUGACACAUCUCUUGCCAAGCGGAUGUAUCCACCCUCACCCCAUCCGGCACCCCAUGAGUUCCUUACUAUCCAAAAUUUUUUUCCGCUGCUAUCCUGCCCGUAACCUAUAAUGACGAUGGCAUGAUUGAGUCUAGUUCCACAAGGUCCGGUAAACACACCGCGCUUGUAAUGUUGAAAGUUUCCACUGGCAUCGAGAGCAGCAGCUAUUGGUUGAUUCGACACAGCGUACAUCAUGUUGCGUUCGUUGUUCCUCUGCACAUAUGUAUAGCGAGUAAUAUAAGCUGAAUUGGGCACGCCAUUGGUCUUGCAGGUACCUUUGGCUGCUUUGUAAGGGUAGAUAGCUGCGGAUGCCACGCCCUUGUUGGAUAUGAUGAAACUGUAGGCCUUGUUUAUCCAGCCGCCUUUGCACCCGUAGCUUACAGCACAAUCGAGAACUUGCUGCUCCGAUAAAGAUACUAAGUUCCCUCUUUUGAUCUUGUAGAUUGAUUCUACCGUCGCAAUUGAAGCGAAUGCCCAGCAAGAACCUGUGCCGAAACAAAGAUUAAAUCGUGUUAGCAUAACAAGUGUAAGCAAAGUUACAUAUAUAUGUAGGUUGCCAUGAUAAAAGAAAGCAUUCAAACCAAUUACCUAAUUAGAUGAUACUUGCAAGUACUUAGCUGCUUUUAACUUGUUUUCAAUACUUGUCAUGCAUAGGGGAUGUCCCGUUCUUUUUGACUAAAACGUAUUUUGCUUACUUUAAUAAUAUAAUUAUUGUAAUAACUUAAUUAACAAUAAGAAAUUCAAUAAUAGACCUAACAUCCAGAUGAGUUGAAUCAAGUCGAAAUCUAUAAAUGUUAUGGUUAAGUCUUUAAGUGUGUUGGAUACAUUCUUUUUAUCGCCACUUUUUCUGUAAUAGUUGAUUAUCACUUACCAUCCACAUUCGAUAGCUAGGAUGAUUUUUUAUUAACUAGAUUCAAUAUUUCGACAAUUUCCUUGUAUGAAGACUGAUAAUGUGUCCUAAUGAAUGUUUAGACACUUUUAAUUUGAUCGGCCAAAAUAAUGGACUUGUUGGGUUUUAGUGGGUGGAAAUUUGGUCCUUUAGUCCAAAAACGGCAGAAGGCAUAUUUGGUGAGAUUUGAUCUAAACAACAUGUUUAAAGUUAACUAAAAGAAUAGGUAUUUGUUCCUAGCUGAAAAAAUGAAGUUGCUUUGACAAUUUAUAGUCCACAUUAAUCCUUACCACAGCGGCCUUGGUUCUUGACACUUGUUACGGCACCAGAGUCUCUCCAAUCAAUACUUUGAGGCACCGAGGAGAUGUCUACGUCAUCAAACGACACCACUGGCUCUCUCUUGAUAUUUAGUGGGAGAGAUAAACCAGUAUAUUGAGCAACAAAUUCGUUAUUUGUCAUAUCGGUAAAUUGAUUGAUACCGAGAGUGUACGAAUUUCCGUUGCGAUUGUUAAAGGUUUCGAUAUGGUUCACGUUGUUCUUGAAUAUCUGAAACCGGAGCAUCUUCUCGUCGUUGUCCUUGUAAACUCGGCCGUACUCCGCCAUCCAUUCUUCAAACUGCUUCAUCAUGGGAUCACUGGGUUCGUCACAAGAAGCUGCCGAUGGCGAAGCCCACAUCACACAGAGAAACAAGAAAAGAAACACGAGUUGAACUUUGGAAGUCAUGCUUAUGUAGCACUAAAUAUCUACUUUUAUGUAUGAGGAAAUUGGAGAUCGAGCUUCAAGAGCUUUUGUUGCUGAGAGUAUGGCCUCAAGAUCGAGUUUAUAUAGAAGUUGGAGUAUUAAUAGGUGGAGGCCUACAAGAUGGCAUAAAUCACCAUCAAAUUAAAAUUAAAUAGAUCUUGACCGCUUAUGACACCGCGUCAUUUGGUCACGCGCUAAUCAUGAAAAAGAUAAUAAUGUUUCUCUACUUCUCUCACAUUUUAACUUUAUAAUUUCUUUCAUAGGGCAUAAAAUGACUAAUUAAAUAGAUCUUGAACCCUCCUCGCCAUAAGAUCAUCUUAGGUGCAAGCAAAAAGGAAUGUACAUUUCUCCAUUUCUAUCUUUUCACUCUCUAACUUUAAUCUUUCAUGCAUAGGCUAUAUAUAUUCGUUCUUCUUGUUUCUUUUUCCGUUGCAUGAGCAGGACCAACCCUAGAAAUAAAAACCUGAUCUGUAGUUUAGUCAAAUAUUGCUUUAAAACUCGAUCGAUCUGUAAUUUGAAAAGUAGCCAACUUUGAAACAGCAUAUAUAUAGUUGCAGCUCAAGCGGAAAAUAAACCAACUAAAAGCUAAGGUUCCCUUUAGAAUUGCAGCCACAUUACAUUGCGUACGGUAAGAAAUUAAAAAUAUAAAAAUAUUUUAUUUAUUUUCAUUAGUGAUUUUUAAAAUAUAAAUAUUAAAAAUAUUAUUUUCUAUACUAUAAACUUUAAGAUUAAUGAUUAUUUCACAUCCUUCUACUCUAUAUCAAUUGAAGGACUUGUGGCUUUAAGUUCUGCCCAUUUAAAAAUAUUCAAUAUUUUUAUAUAUAGGAACCCGGCGUCUCCCAAACUAAGUAUUACCUAUUCUAAUACUAUGCGAAAUAACAUGACACAGCGGUUGUUCUCCAAAAACUUAAAGAUGCCUCAGAGGAUAAGGCACUAAGUUUGAAUCUUAUCGGGCAAUAAUUUCAUCCAAUUUCUUUUAAUUUAAUUUAAUUUAAUUCAAGUUCACAUUUUAAGUCUACUGAAAUUUCUCGAACCUAAACAUGAGGUAGAGUGUUAAUUUUAUAUAUAUAUAUAUAUAUAUAUAUAUUGUUAAGAUUUCGUUAGAUUUAUAGAUUAAAUUCUAGUUGGAUAAAAAUUAAUAUUUAAAUUUGUUGGAGAUAAAUUAAAAUUUAAAUAUUAUUUAGAGUAUGAAUCUAACUAGAGUAGGAUAAAUAUUUAAAUCUAUUGGAGAUAAAUCAAUUAAGAUUUAAAUAUUUAUUGGAGUAGAAAAAUAAAUAUACUAGAAUUCGGGUACGCUUUGAUAUAAGCUUUAUAAAUAAAUUCAUCAUACUUACUCGAUCCCAAUUCAUUCGUUUUCCUUAUAAAAAAAAUAUUCUACAAUGUCAUUCUCUCAACGAUGUCUGAGUGCAAAUUAAACAUGUAUUAAACCAAAAAUCAAAUCACGGAUUAUAAUUUUUUAAUGCAUAAAUCUUUUAAACUUUAUAAAAUUAUAUCAAAUUAAUUAAAUUUUAAUUAAUUUUAAAAUUUUUUAGGGGAAAAGAUGCUUAGUUAUCUGUUUUGUACAUUUUGAGAAUUUCUUUUGGCACCGACCGUCACUAGCGCAAGUGGUACAGGGUUUGGUGGUUGGUAUUGGAGGUCCCAAAUUCGAGUUAAGUUUAUUUCUAAAUGAAAUAAACGAAGCGGGUAACAUACUAUCUAUCUUUUAACAAAAGGGGAAACUUCAAAUACCCGCCUGUGGUUUCGUACUUUCUCACUUUAGUACCCUGUGGUUUAAAGUGUAUCAAGUUGGUACCUAGCUGUGGUUUCGUAUUUUUUCACUUUCGUACUCUGUGAUUUCAAGUGUAUCAAGUUAUUAUCCUAUGGUUUCGCACUUUCUCACUUUAGUACCAUGUGAUUUAAUAUUUUGUUAAAUUAUAUGCCUCGAAAUGAAUAAUAAAAACAGAAAAUUGAAACCACAGGGUACUAACUUGAUACAAAAAUAAAACCACAAGGUAAUAACUUAAUACAGUUGAAACCAUAUAGUACUAAAGUGAGAAAGCGCGAAACCACAUGGUACUAACUUGAUAUAUUUUAAAUCACAAGCUACUAAAGUGAGAACGCAUGAACCCAAUGGGGGUAUUUGAAGUUUCACCUAAAAAAAGAAUUUCUUUUGGCAAAGCCUACGAGAUGUAGACCCAUGCAAUGUGUACGUGUGCAAACGUUAAUUUCUCUCUUAUCAAUCGUUAGUAAAGUUGCGAGGGGAACAACUUUUAUUGCAGCUGAUGUGUUGUUAUUGGAAUUAUCGGAGCAUGUGUUGCCCAACGGGAAUAGGGCUGAUAAGAGACGUGCAUGAAUUAAAAAAGUUAUAUUUAAUUUUUUUAAAAAAAUAUUGUUCAGAAUAGUUGUUUAGCAUUAUGAAAGAAUUUUUUUUAAAAAAAGUAUCAAUGCCACGCUUAUGUAUUAAAAUGCCCUCAUAAAAUGAUAAUAUCAUUCAUGCUCUUUUAAAUGGUCAUAAAUCUUAUAGUAAUUAGCUCUAGUGAUUAAUUAGUCUCUACCGAAAAAUCUCGUCAUUAAUUAUUAUAAAAUAUUUAUUUUUUUACCAUUACGUACUAUUAGUAUAAUAACUCGUGCGAUGUGAUAAAUAGAUAGUUAAAGAAAAAAUAAAAAAUGGCCACAAAAAAGAGUAAAUAACAAUGGAAGACACUACAACAGAAUUAGGUUAUAGAAACACAUGUUUGGAACACUUUUGAGUAAGUAUCCCAUUUAUACUAAAAUUUAAAAAAAUAUCUACUAAUGCCUAAAUAUAAAGCCCAAUCCAACCAAAAAUAAAAGAUUACUUUACUCAACCCACCACACCCAGUCCAUUUGGCCUGAUUACAAACAGAAAAAAAAAAGAAAAAUUAAUUACCAUAUUUUCUUCUCGCUUUACUCAAUCCACUGAAAUUCUAGACGAAGAGCCAUUCCUGUCGUCCUCCUCCGCCACCGCAGCCAACGAGAUAGAGUUUCGGCGGUUGCGAAAUGCUUAAAUAAGUUGUUGGUAAAUUAGCAGCACUCUUUUAGGUUAUAGCGACACUCUUUAACUGUCACUAUAUAUCUAGCGAACCCACAUAUAGCAACACUUUUUAAAAGUGUCGGUAAUUUUAGCUAGCAUCACUUUUUUGACAUGUACCUACAUUUAAAAGUGUCGUUAUAGACCGUUUUUAUUGUAGUGAGAACUGACGAUGAGAGAAGAGAUUUAUCCUGCCGAUGAACGAAAAUAACAGUUGAAGUGACAAAGGGCUUGGUGGUUGGUACUCGAGACCCAAGUUCGAAUCCUAGUUGAUUCACAUUUUCAGCUAAGUUUAUUUUUAAAUGAAAUAAACGAAGCGGGUAGUGUGCUACCUAUCUCUCAAAAAAAAAAAAAAAAAUAGCAGUUGAAGAAAGAGGAAAUGAAAUAGUUGGUCUAAUGCAGAGGCGUGAUCUAGUUUGGUUCAAGGAAAAGAAAAAUCCGAUUCAGUUCAAACAAAAAAAAGAAAAAACUUGAGACAGUUUGGGAUAAAGCCUACACUCAAUAGUGAUCGAUUUAGUUCAAGUAUAAAAACAGAAAAAAAAAAAAAUUUGGUUCAAAGCUGCAAACAUGUGGAGCAGUGGGGCUAGUUUAGCCCAAUGCAACAGGUUGAUUUGAUUCGUUUCAAGCAAAGAAAGAAAGAAAUCAGGUUCAUUCCACGUGAAAAAGGAGAAAACUUAAGCGUAUUUUCAAAAUUUAUUAGAACUAAAAUUAGGAUAACGCUAUUUGACAUAAGAUAAUAUGAGAAAUAUUUAUGAUAUUUUUAGAAGUAUUUGUGAUAGUUUAAGAUUUUGAGGAGUAGCUAUGAAGUUGUCCCUAAAAAAAUCUGCAGUUCGAUCUCUCACAACCUCGUUUCAAAAUUUGGAAGAUCAAUCUCCUUGACUUUCGAAUUUUAUGUAGUACAAUUUUUAGACGUUGUUCUUAAGGUAAGAAAUUUAUAAGCAACUUUAAAGGUUUUAGUCAAAUAUAUUCACUACAAAAAAAACGGUCUAUAGUGACACUUUUAAAUAUAGGUACAUGUCAAAAAAGUGUUGGUAGCAAAAAUUACCGACACAUUUAAAAAGUGUUGCUAUAUGUGGGGUAGCUAGGUAUAUAGUAACAGUUAAAGAGUGUCGCUAUAAUCUAAAAGAGUGCUGCUAAUUUACCAACACUUAUUUAAGCAUUUAGCAACCGCCGAAACUCUAUCUCGUUAGCUGCGGUGGCGGAGGAGGACGACAGGAAAGGCUCUUCGUAUAGAAUUUCAGUGGAUUAAGUGAAGAGAGAAGAAAAGAUGGUAAUUGAUUUUUUUUUUUUCUUUUCUGUUUGUAAUCGGGCCAAAUGAACUGGGUGUGGUGGGUUAAGUAGAGUAAUCUUUUAUUUUUGGUUGGAUUGGCCUUUAUAUAUAGGCAUUAGUAGAUGUUUUUUUAAAUUUUAGGAUAAAUGAGAUACUUACUCAAAAGUGUCCCAAACAUGUGUCCCUAUAACCUAAUUCUGUUGUAGUGUAUAUAUUAAGAAUUUUAUCAGAUUUUCCGUGAUUUCAUCAAAUUUAAAAGUUUUGACCAUUUCUAGCAAUUGAAGCUUGAAUAAUUUACAACUAACUAGAAUUGCCCAAAUUAAACAAAUUUAGAAGAUAAAAAGAUGGUAAGAGUGGAGGAGUCGAUUUCAAAGGAGCCUAUGAUUGAGCACGUCUUCGUACACUUCUAUCAAUUAUCUGCUCACGUAUGCAGCAGCCAGAGCUAAACUAUGUUUAUCGAUCAGGGCAAUAAUUCGCCUUUUUUUUUUAAUGAUCUUAAGAACAUGGUUAUAAGCUUUAAUUAAAAUUAUAGAGCUUGACAACAAGUUGAACAAGUUUAUGACAAAAAUAAAUAUAUAUUAUAAGCACAGUCCCACAAAAUUGUGGGAGCAUAAGAUUUAGUUGGUAUCAUAUUAUACGAACGAACCAUAUAUCAUCGCUCAUGCAUUUUGACCGUUCAUAUUGGAUGGUCCAAAUAGAACGAUCGGUCUUGAUUGAUAAGGUAUAUAUAUUUUUUAAUGAUCUUAGGAAAUAAAUCCAAUUUCAUUUGUUCCCUUUGUUUUUAAUAAAAUAGGAAUCAUUCACUAGGCUCAGCCUAAAUCUAAUAUUCAUUGUAGAGGUGGCAAUCCAGCUUUGCUGCUCGCGAGUUAGUUCAUGUUCGGCUCGAAAUGAACUCGAAAUCGAAUCGCUCGUUUAGUAAACGAGUCGAACACGAGCUGAAGUUUUCAGCUCGUUUAAUAAACGAGCCAAACACAAGCCGGCGUCAGCUCGCUUAUUUUCGGCUCAAUAACAGCUCAAAUAUAUAUAUAUUUUAUAUUUAUAUAAUCUAUUUAAUUUAUAUUUAUAUAUUUAUAUAUAUAAAUAAAUAAUUAUGUAAUAUAUAUAUAUAUAAAAUUUAAUUUUUAGAAAAAAAAAUAUAAAGUCGAGCUCAAUUAAAAAAAAACUCAUUUAUAUAUAAAGUUUCAACCAUUAAAUCAAAAUCUAAUGAAUAAAAUUUUAUAAAUUUAUUUUUUAUAUAUAUUCAAUCUAAUUAAUUUAAUUUAUUGUUCAUUGGCCAACUCGUGUUCGGCUCAUUUAUUAAUAAAUCGAACACAAGUUGAAUUUUUCAGCUUGAUACUUUAACAAGUCAAUUCGUGUUCGGCUCGUUUAUUAAACGAGUCGAAUACGUGCCGGCCCUAGCUUACUCGUGUUCGGCUCCUUAACACCCCUAAUUCUUAGCUACUUAGAUCUUAGACAUCAUGAAGGUGCAGUCGGAAUAUCCAAAUAAGUUAUUCAAAGAGAAGAAUUUCUAGGGUGAAAGAAGUUUAUUUUUUCUCCUAGGAAAGAAUUUGAUAUCCAUAGUUAGAUACCAUAAUAUAUUUUAUCAAAUUUUAGAUUUUUGAUCACACUGCUCAUCUAUUAAUAUUAUGUAUAAAUUUUUUAAAUAAUAUUUAUAAAAUAUAUCAAUUAAGAUAUUCAUGCAUCCAAAUAGGGCCGAAGUUAUGACGGUACCAAUCCAACUUGGAUUAAGCCAAAUUCAUUCAUCGAAACCAAACCAUACCUAACAAAACGUCCUUUAUUAGAUAACAGCCAAAGAGGAUGGACCUGGACCAUGUCUCGUGGGCCUACUACUAUGUAGGCGGAGAACAAUGUCGGUCCACGAGAACACCUAAUAUUUUUUAAAAAAAUUUUAUUUUAAUAGAAUAUUUUUUUAAAAAAAAUAUAAUUUAUUUAUGUAUAAUGAAUGACUAAUUAUUGUAAUAGAAUAAAAUUUUCUCUUUAUUGUAAUAUUUUUUAAAAAAAAGAUUUGUUACCAAUCGUUCCUAAAGUAAAUGGCAAAGGGUUUGGUGGUUGGUAUACGAGACCCAAGUUUGAAUCCUAGUUGAUUCACAUUUCCAACUAAGCUUAUUUUAAAAUGAAAUAAAUGAAGUGGGUAGCGUGCUACCUAUCUCUCUCUUAANUGAUCUAGUACUGUUUCUUAUUAGUAUUACAAAAUGGAUCGAACAUUUGUCUCCUUAUGCAAGGCAAUUGUGUAUGCGCAAAAAAAAAAAAAAAAAUUGUUUUUCAUUAACAGAAACAUACUAGAUCACAGUAAUUAAGGAGCACACUCUCUAUUGUAGAUCUUCAAACUAGCUUACAUACUCACUGAACACACAGAAACAUAACAGAAACUUACCACAAUUAAUGUCGAAGCAAGCAGCUGAACAAUUGGAUGCGUACAUGCAUCCUUAUUUAUAACUAAGCAAAUAAGAUAGCAAACUGCAUGCAGUGAUCACUUCCGAUCGACCUACACUGAGCUUCGACUUUCAGAAACCAUUUUAAUGACUUCGACAUUGGCCCCUGAUUGUAGAGUGGGAUAGAGGGGACGUAUGGCGAUUCCACAUAAUCCAGAUGACGAUGACACAUCUCUUGCCAUACGGAUGUAUCCACGCUCACCCCAUGAGGCACCCCAUGAGUUCCUUACUAUCCAAAAUUUUUUUCCGCUGCUAUCCUGCCCGUAACCUAUAAUGGUGAUGGCAUGAUUGAGACUAGUUCCACAAGGUCCGCUAAACACACCGCGCUUGUAAUGUUGAAAGUCUCCACUGGCUUCAAUACUAGCAGCUAUUGGUUGAUUCGACACAGCGUACAUCAUGCUGCGUUCGUUGUUACUCUGCACACGUGUAUAACCAGUAAUAUAAGCUGAAUUGGGCACGCCAUUGAUCCUGCAGGUGCCUUGGGAUGCUUUGUAAGGGUAGAUAGCUGCGGAUGCCACGCCCUUGUUAGAUAUGAUGAAAUCGUAGGCCUUGUUCACCCAGCCGCCAUCGCACCCGUAGCUUACAGCACAAUCGAGAACUUGCUGCUCCGAUAAAGAUAUUAAGUAUCCUCUUUUGAUCUUGUAGAUUGAUUCUACCGUCGCAAUUGCAGCGAAUGCCCAGCAAGAACCUGUGCCGAAACAAAGAUUAAAUCGUGUUAGCAUAACUAGUGUAAGCAAAGUUACAUAUAUAUGUAGGUUGCCAUGAUAAAAGAAAACAUUCAAACUAACCCAAUUAGAUGUUAUUUGCAAGUACUGAGCUGCUUUUAACUUGUUUUCAAUAGUUGUCAUGCAUAGGGAUGUCUCGUUCUUUUUGACUAACAUGUACGUAUUUUGCUUACUUUAAUAAUAUAAUUAUUGUACUAACUUAAUUAACAAUAAGAAAUUCAAUAAUAUACCUAACGUCCAGAUGAGUUGAAUCAAGUCGAAAUCUAUGAAUGUUAUGGUUAAGUCUUUAAGUGUGUUGGAUACAUUCUUUUUAUCACCACGUAUUUAUGUAAUAGUUGAUUAUCACUUAUGAUCGAUCCUCAUUCGAUAACUAGGAUGAUUUUUUAUUCACUAGAUUCAAUACUUUGAUAAUUUCCUUGUAUGAAGACUGAUAAUAUGUCCUAAUGAAUGUUUAGACACUUUUGAUCGGCCAAAAUAAUGGACUUGUUGGGUUUUAGUGGGUGGAAAUUUGGUCCUUUAUAAAGGACCAAAUUAUAUUAUUUGAUGAGAUUUGAUGAGAUUAUAUUAUUUAGUCCAAAAACGGCAGAAGGCAUAUUUGAUGAGAUUUGAUCUAAAAUACAUAUUUAAAGUUAACUAAAAGAAUAGGUAUUUGUUCCUAGUUGAACAAAUGAAGUUGCAUUGACAAUUUAUAGUCUAAAUUAUUUCUUACCACAGGGGUUUUGGUUCUUGACACUUGUUACGGCACCGUAGUUUCUCCAAUCAAUACUUUGAGGCACCGCGGAGAUGUCUACGUCAUCAAACGACACCACUGGCUCUCUCUCGAUAUUUAAUGGGAGAGAUACUCCAGUAUAUUGAGCAACAAAUUCGUUAUUUGUCAUAUCGGUAAACUGAUUGAUACCGAGAGUGUAAGAAUUUCCGUUGCGACUGUUAAAGGUUUCGAUAUGGUUCACGUUGUUCUUGAAUAUCUGAAACCGGCGCAUCUUCUCGUCGUUGUCCUUGUAAACUCGGCCGUACUCCGCCAUCCAUUCUUCAAACCGCUUCAUCAUGGGAUCACUGGGUUCGUCACGAGAAGCUGCCGAUGGCGAAGCCCACAUCACACAGAGAAACAAGAAAAGAAACACGAGUUGAACUUUGGAAGCCAUGCUUAUGUAGCACUAAAUAUCUAGUAUAUGUAUGAGGAAAUUGGAGAGUCUGGUCUCAAGAUUGAGUUUAUAUAGAAGUUGGAAUAUUAAUGGGUGGAGGCCUACAAGAUGGCAUAAUUAAAUCUCCAUCAAAUUAAGAUUAAAUAGAUCUGGACCACUUGUGACACCGCGUCAUGUGGCCAUGGUCACGUGCUAAUCAUGAAAAAAAUGAUGUUUCUCUACUUCUCUCACAUUUUAACUUUAUAAUUUCUUUCAUAGGAUAUAGAAUGACUAACUAAUUAAAUAGAUCUGGAACCCUCCUCGCCAUAAGAUCAUCUUAGGUGCAAGCAAAAGGAACGUACGUACGUUUCUCCAUUUCUAUCUUUUCACUCUCUAAAUUUAAUCUUUCAUGCAUAGGCUGUAUAUAUUCGUUCUUCUUGUUUAUUUUUCCAUUGCAUGAGCAAUACCAACCCUAGAAAUAAAAACUUGAUCUGUAGUUUAGUCAAAUAUUACUUUAAAACUCGAUCUGUAAUUUGAAAAGUAGCCAACUUUGAAACAGCAUAUAUAUAGUUGCAGCUCAAGCGGAAAAUAAACCAACUCAAAGCUAAGGUUCCCUUUAGAAUUGCAGCCACAUUACAUUACGUACGGUAAGAAAUUAAAAAUAUAAAAAUAUUUUAUUUAUUUUUAUUAGUGAAUUUUAAAAUAUAAAUAUUAAAAAUACUAUUUUCCAUACUAUAAACUUUAAGAUUAAUGGUUAUUUCACAUCCUUUUACUCCAUAUCAAUUGAAAUAAGGACUUAUAUAUGGCUUUAAGUUCUGCCCAUUUAAAAAUAUUCAAUAAUUUUAUAUAUAGGAACCCCGCAUCUCCCAAACUAGGGAUUACCAGUUCUAAUACUACGCGAAAUAAUAUGACGUAACUGUUGUUCUUCAAAAACUUAAAGAUGGCUCAGAGGAUGAGGCGCUAAGUUUGAAUCUUAUCGUGCAAUAGGUUAAUCCAAUUUCUUUUUAUGUAAGUUAAUUUAACUCAAGUUCAUAUUUUAAGUCUAUUAAAACUUCUCGAGCCUAAACAUGAGGUAGAGUGUUAAUUUUAUAUAUAUAUAUUAAACAGACCUUUCUUUAAUAACUUAAGUUUCUAUAGAUAAAUAAUUGUUUCACAUUCUUUCAUAGAUUUAACUUUUUUCAUAUUAUAAUAAAUUUAUUAUAAUAUAAUUCCUAUGCUUUCAUUAGAAAAUAAUGAAGUAUAUAUCUUUAUAUGAUUUAACUCCAACCAAGUUACAUCUACUAGCAUGCUUCAAUGCCCAAAUGGGUGCUAAGUUACAAGACAAUCCAAAAUAAGGAAAGCCCAAGUUCUAAGUCGGCACUAAAGUUAAUUUACUGAGUAAAAUUCAAUUUACCCACACCACCACCCCCUGUAAUUUAGUGGAGUUUUACUUUGUUCUUAUGUAGUUUAAAGGUUGCAUGUAACUAUCGUGUGAUUUUUUAUUUUUAUUUUAUCUAUAAAACUUGACAUCAAUUAGCAAAGUGAAUUUUUUGUUCUGUUUAACAGUAAGUCUUUACAAGAAAAUAAAAAUUAAUAUUAUACGAUAGUUAAGUAUAACUUUUCAAACCGCAUAAUAACAAAGUGAAAAAAUAUUAAACAGCAGUAAGAAAAAUUAAAAAUUACCUAAUUAAAUUAAUCAUACUUACUCGAUCCCGAUUCAUUCGUUUUCCUUCAAAGAUUCUACAAUCUCAUUCUCUCAACGAUAUUUGAGUGCAAAUUAAAUAUGUAUUAAACCAAAAAUCAAAUCACGGAUUUUAAUUUUUUAAUGCAUAAAUCUUUUAAACUUUAUAAAAUUAUAUCAAAUUAAUUAAAUUUUUUAAUUAAUUUUAAAAUUUUUUAGGGGAAAAGAUACUUAGUUAUCCGUUUUGUUCAUUUUGAGAAUUUCUUUUGACACCGACUAUUUCUAACGCAAGUGGUAAAGAAUUUAGUAGUUGAUAUUCGAGAUUCAAAAUUUAAACUUAAUUUAUUUCUAAAUAAAAUAAACGAAGUGGUACCUAUCUACGAGAUGUAGACCCAAUGCGUACAUCCGCAUACGUUAUUUUCUCUCUUAUCAAUCGUUAGUAAAGUCGCAAUCGAGAGGGGGACAACUUUUAUUGCAGCUGAUGUGUUGUUAUUGGAAUUAUCGGAGCAUGUGUUGCACAACGGGAAUAUAAAGGACUGAUAAGAGACGUGCAUGAAUUAAAAAACAGUUACUGACGAUGGAAGAAGUGACAAAAAACAAAAAGAGAUUUAUCCUGCCGACAAAAAAAAGAGUAAAUGAUAAUGAAAGAAGUGGCGAUGAGGAAAGAGAUUUAUCCUACUGAUGAACGAAGAUAAUAAUUAAAAAAAGAGAAAAAGGAAUAGUUCCGCUUAAUGCAGAGGUGUGAUCCAGUUUGGUUCAAGCAAAAAAAAAAAAAAAUCGGUUCGAUUCAAGCAAAGAAAAAGAAACACUUGAGACGGUUUUGGGUAAAGCUUAUACUCGAUAGUGAUAGAUUCAGUUCAAGUAUAAAAAGAGAAAAUAUUUAGUUUAAAGAUGAAAACAUGUGGAGCAGUUGGGUUGGUUCAGUCCAAUGCAACAGGUUGAUUUGAUUCGCUUCAAGUAAAGAAAAAGAGAAAUCAGGUUCAUUCCACGUAAAGAAAGAGAAAAAUAUGUGAAAAACUUAAGUCUGUUCGGAAGAGUUUACAUUCAAUAAUUAUUGAUUCGAUUUAAGUAAAGAAUAAGGAAAAUUCGAUUUGAUUCAAGCAAAAAGGAAAAAAAAAAAUUAUGCGAAAAACUUGAACGGAUUCUGAAUGAAGCUCUGAAUGAAGCUCACACUUAAUAAUGAAAGGAGCGUUAUCAUGUGGCAAAACUAGAAGGAAUAGAUAGAUAUCACUAAUGUCGCUUAAAUUAUCUAUAGCUAAUAUUCAAAGUUUUCUACAUCAUUAAUGUUGCUUAAAUGGUAUUCAAAAUUUUCUAUAGCGUAUGUUCAAAAUUUAUUAGAACUAAGAUUAGGAUAACGCUAUUUGACAUAAGAUAACAUGAGAAAUAUUUAUAAUAUCUUUAGAAGUGUUUGUGAUAGUUUAAGAUUUUGAGGAGUAGCUAUGAAGUUGUCCCUAAAAAAAUCUGUAGUUCGAGCUUUCACAACCUCGUUUCAAAAUUCGGAAGAUCAAUCUCCUCGACUUUCGACUUUUAUGUAGUACAAUUAAUUUUUAGACGUUGUUCUUAAGGUAAGAUAUUUAUAAGCAACUUUAAAGGAGAAAAAGUUAUAUACUAACAGGGAUCGCAUUUAAUUCGGAAAUUUGAAUGUGAGUUUUUACUUUUUAACCGUCCAGAUUUCACACUUUGAUAAAUAAUACGACUUGAAUACUCAUAAAAGACGAUAGCAUGCCCUUACCCACUUUUCUUAUGCACAAGACAUAAACUAUAAUGUAUGUUGGUGCAAGCAAAAUUUAUUUUAUUUGAGAUUUGAAUUCAUUUUAUUAACCCUUCGACUCAGUUUGUUCUACUUACAGUACGGCGUUGGACCACAACAUACAUAUCGAUUAUUCAGAUACGACUUUAUUAAAUUGCAUUAAAGGCCUCUAAAGUUAAAAAUUUAGUUUGGGGACCAUUUGCUUUAAUUUCGCUCGGGCAUCAUCUGAAAUAGGCCAUGCCAAAUUAGGCCCCGCCCUCAACUACAGGCCACGCCCUCAUCUACAGGACAUUCCAAACUAGGUCCCCCAACAUUUCUUUUUCUGUUUUUUUUUAAAAGUUUAUUUUUGUUUUAAAUUUUUUGAUAAAUUAAGAUGUUUUAGUCAAAUAUAUUAAGAAUUUUAUCAAAUUUUUCGUGAUUUCAUCAAAUUUAAAAGUUUUGACCAUUUCUAACAAUUGAAGCUUGAAUAAUUUACAACUAAUUAGAAUUGCCCAAAUUAAACAAAUUUAGAAGAUAAAAAGAUGUUAAGAGUUGAGGAGUCGAUUUCAAAGGAGCCUAUGAUUGAGCAUGCCUUCGUACACUUCUAUCAAUUAUCUGCUCACAGCCAGAGCUAAACUAUGUUUAUCAGGGCAAUAAUCCGCCCUUUUUUUUAAUGAUCUUAAGAACAUGGUUAUAAGCUUUAAUUAAAAUUAUAAAAAAUAAAUAAAUAUUAUAAGCACAGUCCCACAAAAUUGUGGCAGCAUAAGAUUUAGUUGGUAUCAUAUUACACGAACGAGCCAUAUUUCAUGCGGAAUAUAUUAAACAAAAAUGAAAAUACAUGACGUGCAACAUAAUAUUUGACGCAUAUCGGGAGCAAUUCUAUGCACAUAUGCAUUUUGACCGUUCAUAUUGGAUGGUCCAAAUAGAACGAUCGGUCUUGGUUGAUAAGGUAUAUAUUUUAUCCAGUUACAUAUAUUAUUAGGAAAUAAAUCCAAUUUCAUUUGUUCCCUAUGUUUUUAAUAAAAUAGGAAUCAUUCACUAGGCUCAGCCUAAAUCUAAUAUUCAUAGUAGGGGUGGCAAUCCAGCUUUGUUGUUCGUAAACUAGCUCGUGUUCGGCUCGAAAUGAGCUCGAGAUCGAAUUGCUCGUUUAGUAAACAAGCCGAACACGAGCUGAAUUUUUCAGCUCGUUUAAUAAAUGAGCCGAACACGAACCGGCGUCAGCUCGCUAGUGUUCGACUCAAUAACAGCUCAAAUACAUAUAUUUUAUAUUUAUAUAAUCUAUUUAAUUUAUAUUUAUAUAUUUAUAUAUAUAAAUAAAUAAUUAUAUAACAUAUAUAUAUAUAUAUAUAUAUAUAUAUAUAUAUAUUAUUUAAUAUUUAGAAAAAAAAAAUAAAGUCGAGCUCAAUUAAAAAAAGAUGCAUUUAUAUAUAAAGUUUCAACCAUUAAAUCAAAAUCUAAUGGAUAAAAUUUUAUAAAUUUAUUGUUUAUAUAUAUUCAAUCUAAUCUAUUUAAUUUAUUGUUCAUUGGUCAGCUUGUGUUCGGCUCAUUUAUUAAUAAACCGAACACAAGCUGACUUUUUUGGCUUGAUACUUUAACAAGGCAACUCGUGUUCAGCUCGUUUAUUAAACGAGCCGAAUGCGAGCCAGCCCAGCUUACUCGUGUUCGGCUCCUUAACACCUCUAAUUCAUAGCUACUUCGAUCUUAGACAUCAUGAAGGUGCAGUCUGAAUAUCAAAAUAAGUUAUUCAAAAAGAAGAAUUUCUAGGAUUAUUAUAAGAAAGAAGUUUAAUUUUUUCUUCUAGAAAAAAAAAAAAUUGAUAUCCAUAGUUAGAUAGCAUAAUAUAUUUUAUUUACGAGAUAGUUUAUCUUAUCCAGAAAAUGAUUUCACAGAUUACAUUAGUAUACAAUUUGAAAAUUUUUAUCACACUGCUCAUCUACUAAUAUUAUGUAUAAAUUUUUCAAAUAAUAUUUAUAAAAUAUAUCAAAUAAAAUAUCCAUAUAUCCAAAUAGAGCCAAAGUUAGGACGGAAUCAAUCCAACUUAGAUUAAAGCAAAACUAAACCAAUUCAUUCAACGAAACCAAUCCGUACCUAACAAAACAUCUUUUAUUAGAGAACUGCCGAAGAGGAUGGACCUGGACCAUUGCUCGUGGGCCUACUACUGUGUAGGAGUAGAACCAUGUCGGUCCACCGAAGAGGAUGGACCUGGACCAUGUCUCGUGGGCCUGCUACUAUGUAGGCGGAGAACCAUGUCGGUCCACGAGAGCACCUAAUCUUUUAAAAUUUUUUUUAAUAGAAUAAAUUUUUUUAAAAAAAAUAUUAUUUAUUUAUGUAGAAUUAAUGACUAGUUAUUGUAAUAGAAUAAAAUUUUUUCAUUAUUGUAAUAUUUUUUUAAAAAAAAGAUUUUUUUUUCAUUAUUGUAAUUAAAAUUUUUUGAUAUGUCUCUGAUUUCUCCAUCUUAUUAUGGUACAAAUUAAGAGAACGCUACAGUACUAUUAUAUACAACCCUUAGUAAGGAUAAGAUAUUGAUGUGGCUAGGUCUAGUUAGGCUAAACGGCAAGCCCUUAUUUCCACCCUAGUGUGCGCGCAUGCAGAAUUGCAUUGCGUAAAGAGACACAUGAUCCAUUUUACAGUACUGAGCAACAAUAGUUCACAAUAAUUAAGGAGCACAUCCGAUUAUAGAUACUCAAACUUACAUACUCACUGGGCACACCGAAACAGAACAGAGACCACAAUGUCGAAGCAAGCUUAGCUAUUGGAUGCAGCAAACGUCGAUCCUUAUUUAUGUAAGUUAAGCAAAUAAGAUAGCAAACUGCAGUGCAUUGCUAAAUCAUUUACUUCCGACUUAUUCGUAGCUUCAAGUUUCAGAAACCAUCUUAAUAACUGCGACAUUAGCCCCUGAUUGUAGAGUGGGAUAGAGAGGAUCCAUGGCGAUUCCACAUAAUCCAGACGAAGACACACCUCUCGCCAUACGGACGUAUCCACGUUCACCCCAUGAGCUACCCCAUGAGUUCUUUACAAUCCAAUAUUGUGUUCCACUGCUAUCCUGCCCGUAACCUAUAAUGGUGAUGGCAUGAUUGAGACUAGUUCCACAAGGUCCACUAAACACACCGCCAUUGUAAUAUUGAAAGUUGUCUCCACUGGCAUCGAUAGCAGCAGCUAUUGGUUGAUUCCACACAGCGUACUUCAUGCUGCUUUCGUCGUUGCUUCGCACAUAUGAAUAACCAGUAAUGUAAGCUGAAUUGGGCCAGCUAUUGGCGGUGCAAUCGCCUUCGUAUGCUUGAUAAGGAUAGUCAGCUUCGGAGGCCACACCGUUGUUAGAUAUGAUGAAAUCGUAGGCAUUGUCCACAAAGCCGCCGUCGCACCCAUUGCUAACAGCACAAUCGAGAACUUCUUGCUCCGAUAGAGAUACUAAGUACCCUGUUACGAUCUUGUAGAUUCCUUCCACCGUCGCAAUUGCACUGAAUGCCCAGCAAGAACCUAUGCCGAAACAAAGAUAUGUGUUAGCAUAACUGCUGCACGCAAAGUUAUAUAUGAGAUUGCCAUGAUAUAAGGAAACAUUCAAACUAACAAAAUUAGCUGUUAUUUGCAAGUACAGAGCUGCUUUUAACUUGUUUUCAAUGGUUGUCAUGCAUAUGGAUGUCCUGUUCUGACUAACACGUACUUUGCUUACUUUGCUAGUAUGAUUAUUGUGAUUAUUAUAGUAACUUAAUUAAUAGUAAGAGACUCAGCAAAUAGACUUAACGUGUAGAUAGAUUGAAUCAAGUCGAAGCUUGUGAAUAUUGUGGUUGAGUCCUUAAAUGCGAUGGAUGUGUCUUUUUUAUCACCACAUACGUGUUUCUGGGAUAGUUGAUUAGCACUUAAAGAUGCAUUCGAUAGCUAAUCUGAUUUUUCAUUAACUAGAUUCAAUACUUCAUUUCUUUGUGCAUUGAUAAUAUGUGAUAAUCCAUGUUUAGACACUUUUAAUCAGCCGAAGUAAUGGAAUUAUUGAGUUUUAGUGGGCGGAAAUUUGGUCCUUUUGUCCAGAAAAGGCAGAAGGCAUUCGGUAGCAAGCAUAUUUGAUCUAAGCAACAUGUUAGCAGCAUCUUAUAAAGUUAACUAAGAAUAGAUAUUUUACUUUUUUCUAGCUAAAGAAAUGAAGUUGCAUUGACAAUUUAUAGUCUAAAUUAUUUCUUACCACAGGGGUUUUGGUCUUUGACCUCUGUUACGGCACCAUAGUCUCUCCAAUCAAUACUUUGACCCACCGCAGAGAUGUUUACGUCAUCAAAUGACACCACUGGCUCUCUCUUGAAAUUUAGUGGGAGAGAUACACCAGUAUAUUGAGUAACAAAUUCGUUAUUUGUCAUAUCGGUAAACUUAUUGAUACCGAGAGUGUAUGAAUUUCCGUUGCGAUUGUUAAAGGUUUCGAUAUGAUUCACGUUGUUCUUGAAUAUCUGAAACCGGCGCAUCUUCUCGUCGUUGUCCUUGUACACUCGGCCGUACUCUGCCAUCCAUUCUUCAAACCGCUUCAUCAUGGGAUCACUGGGUUCGUCACGAGAAGCUGCCGAUGGCGAAGCCCACAUCACACAGAGAAACAAGAAAAGAAACACGAGUUGAACUUUGGAAGCCAUGCUUAUGUAGCACUAAAUAUCUAGUAUAUGUAUGAGGAAAUUGGAGAUCGAGCUACAAGAGCUUUUGGUGCUGAGAGUAUGGUGUCAAGAUCGAGUUUAUAUAGAAGUUCAUGCCUUGGAAUGUAGGUGUGAGAAUUAAUGGGCGGGGCCUACAAGAUGUCACAAAUUGUCAUCAAAUUAACAUUAAAUAGUUCUGGACAGCUUGCGGCACCACGUCGUGUGGUCACUAGUGUAGUGAUUCACUUAUUACGCCGGGCAGAUACUAUUGAAAUAAAAAUUUGUAUAAAAUAAAAUAUCAGUUUAGCAUGAAAAAUAGUAAAUAUAGUUUGUAUUAUAAACAAACACUUCUAAACAAAAUAAAACUAAAAUAAAAAAAAAAUUAAUCAUUCCAAUAAAAUUAUUCAAACUUGUUAAAAAAUAAUCGCAUAUCAUACAAAUGAAUGAUUAAAAUUAUUUUUAUAAUACAAUAAUCAAAUAAAAUAUCAUAUAGCAGUUAAUAUGACUAAAAAAAAACUCACAAUAAUAUGCAAGACAAUAUAUAGAGUGAGGCUACUAUGCUAUCGGAAGCACGGAGCCUUCCGUGCUUCCAGCUCGUUUUUGAUGUUGCAACUUUUGAAUUGUCGAUCGACUCCGUUAAAUUUGAUCUAGAGUAUUUUGAGUACCUAGAAAAUAAAUUUUAUUAUUUUUCGAUAUCAUUUGCCUAGUGAUCGAAUGGGCUCAAAAUCAACAAAUUUCAAUGGCCGUAGUGAGCCGUUUGCAACUUUAACGGUGUAGAAAUAUCCAAAUAAGGUGAAAUUUUGAUAGAAAAUUCUUUAUACUAUAUAAAACAAGAUUAAUAUCUUUGAUUUAAAAUUUUAAUGUCAUAUUAUUACAUUUUGUAAGAUUUUUAUUUUCAGCCGUUGAUUUUGAGCCCCUUCGUUCACUAGGCAAAUGAUAUCGUAAAAUCAUAAAAUUUAUUUUCUAGGUACUNACUACUUGAAAUAUCAAGAAACCAAAUUUUAAAUCUUUUCGAUAUUAUUUAAAAUUUUUUAAUGUAUAAAUUUUUAAAAAUAGACAAUCGGUGUUAUAAUUUUUUAAUGUAUAAAUUUGGUUUAAAAUUUUUUAAAAUAGACAAUAGGCAUUAUUAAUAGACAAUCGGCAUUAUAAUGUAUAAAUUUUUUAAAAUAGACAACCGGCAUUAUAAUUUUUUAAAAUAGACAAUCGGCAUUAUUUAAAAUUUUUUAAUGCAUAAAUUUUAAAUCUUUUUGAUAUUAUUUAAAAUAGACAAUCGGCAUUAUAAUUUUUUAAUGUAUAAAUUUUUUAAACUUUAUAUAAUUAUAUCAAACAAAUUAAGUUUUAAUUUUAAAAUUUUUUAGAGGAUAAUUAGUUACAUAUUUUGUUCAUUUUGAGAUCUUCUUUUAUCCCCGAAUAAAAUCUAAUAAGAGAUGUAGUGCCAACAUGCAUGUGCUGAGCCUUGAAAACUUUUAGAAUGUAUCCGUUAUAUUUAUAAAAUGACAUCUCUAACCAAUUAAAGAAUUUCUUUUAAAUUUAUUCGUUUCAUAAUAAUUAUAAAAAAUAAAUUUUCUUAUAUUUUCAAAAAAAUUAUAAUGAAUUUUUAUUAAUAAUGUGAUGUAAGUAUCAUAUAGUAGGCUUUCUCGGCCAUGCCAGCUAUAACGCGUUUCCGCACAGAUAACUGCAGUUCAUUCUAUAUUAUUAGGAAGCAUUUUGCUCGUCCUUUGAUUGGACAGAUGCAAUCAUGAGGGGGACACCUCCACUCCGUACACAAGAGUCAUUGCAGCUGAUGUGUUGUUUAGUACUGGAAUUAUUACCAGAGCACGUGUUGCACAUACGGAGGAGUAGUGAUAAGAAAACUCUCAUAAAUUAUUAAUACCGUACAGACUCUCUUAAAUUAUUAUAAAUAUUAGGGAUAACUUCAAAAAAACCCCCUGUGGUUUCGCAUUUUCUCACUUUAGUACCCUAUGGUUUAAAGUGUAUCAAUUUGCCCCCCUGUGGUUUUGUUUUUCUCUUUUUUUUUACCAAUUUUGUUGUUUUUUUUUAAUCAGUAACAAAAUUAAAAUUAAAGGGUACUAAAGUAAAUAUUCGAUAAAUCUAGAUGGAUAUCUGAUGUUUUUUUGUAUAUAAUUUAACAAAAUAUUAAGAAAAAAGCUAUAGAAAAGAUAAAAACAAAACCACAGGGGGGCAAAUUGAUACACUUUAAACCACAGGGUACUAAAGUGAGAAAGUUGGAAACCACAGGGGGUUUUUUUGAAGUUUCCCCUAAAUAUUACAGAUAACUUUCAAGCGAUUAGUCUCUAUCCAAAAUAAUGGUGAUAAUUACGCUUCCUGCUUCCGUUUUGAGUUGCGCAUCUCAAAAUACUUAUUUUACCAUGAAUUGAGCUAGAAUAUUUUUAAAAACACCAUACUAUUAUUUUUUUUGGUGCUUCUAAAUUUUUAGUCAGUGUAUCUACUUCCUAAUUAUUAAUAGCAUUUGGAUCAAACACUAUUCCAUCUAUUACUAUCUACCACCACCUACCACCAUCAUCCCAACCUUAUAUUUCUUCAUUCAAAGGUUAAAAACUCAAAAGAGUAAGAUAAAAGAAUCUUCGAAGUAAACCUAAAAAAUAACAAAAAUAAUUAAAUUUUAAAAAUAUAUAUAACAAAAAAAAAAAAGAUAUGCUCGUUUAAACACUCUAUUUUUCUUCUUCUGAAGAAUCAAACAUCUGAUCGAGUUGACAGCUCGUAAGGCAUUAGUAUUAGCCAAUCUAAAAAUAACGGUGUUCCUUACUGUUUAGAUAACUCUCCAACUGACUGUCAGUUCAGUUAUUCUAUUUCACAAAAUUUAUAUGGGCAAUCUGGACCCAUUGGUCCUUGCUCUCCCUAUUGGAAGAGCAGUAAGAUUUUUUUUUGGUGCACCCGGUGCACUAGUUCGUUUUAUAAUUUUAUUUUUUAUUUUUUAAUUAUAAUUUAAUAAUAUAUAUUAUGAUUUUAAAAUAUAUGUAAAAGAAUUUAGAAUUUAGGAUUUAAAAAUUCUUUUGCAUAAAUUUUUUAAAUAUCAUAAAAUAUAUAUCUAUUNAGAGGGACAACUUUUCACUCGGUACGCAAGAGUUAUUGUGGCUGCGCUUGUACCUCAUUUAUUGUUGUUGCAUGAUUGAAAUUAUUUAGAGCAUGUGUUGCACAACAUGAAUAAGAAUAAGAGUUUAUGCGCAUAUAUAUAUAUAUAUAUAUAUAUAUAGAGAAAGAGAGAGAGAGAGAGAGAGAGAGAGAUUCUAUAUUUUUAAAAGUACUAAGUUAUUAGUAUUUAUAGAUUUUUGGCCAUUGGAUUAAGAGAUAUGUAGUUAGGAUGAUGUGGGACCCCUAAGAUUAAGUGGGUGGUUGGUUGAAUAGUAUAAUAUAACGGAUGAAAAUAAUCAAAAUGAUAGAUUUAAUGGUAAAAAAUUUACAAGCACCAAGUGCUUGAUACUUUUACAAGUAUCAUAGCUGAACUCAUAUAUAUAUAUAUAUAUAUAUAUAUAGUAGCGGAGCUUUGGUACUAUAGUCUUGUUUUCGAUCUUACGGUAUUCAAUUUAACGAUCCACACUGUUAAAUAUGAUUUAGGGUAUAUGAAGUUCUUAGAAAUAAAAUUUUAGUUUUUUUCGACAUCGUUUACUUAGUAAAUAAAUUAUGUCAAAAUGGACGAUGAAAAUUGAAUAAUCUUUAAAAUUUGAGCAUAGGACUUUUAAAUUCAAGAUCAAGAUGUUAACCUUAAUCUAGAUAGUUUAAAGUAUUUUCUAUCAAAAUUUAAAGAAAUUUAGAUUCUUCUACACCGUUAAACUCCAAACUUGCUAUAGUAGCCAUUGAAAAUUGACAAUUUUGAAAUGGUUUGAUCAUAAAGCAAACUAUAUNGCUCCUUCCCUCUCCCUCUCUCUCUCUCUCUCUCUAAAGAGGUAGAGAACGGAAAGCGUUUGGGAGUAGUGGGAGUACGAAAGAGAUUCGACGAGAGAAAAUGGUGCGGAAGAGGAAAAUUAGAGCAUCGCUCACGCAAGUGCUCCAACAGUGGGAGAAGAUCGUGUGAUAUAGAGAAAGAGAGAGAGAGAGAGAGAGAGGGAGAGAGAGAAAGAGAAGGGUGGCUCUGUCACACAUGCGCGCUUACCAAAGCUAAGUUUUUUUUUUUUUUAGAAAAAUAUAGCAACGUUAUUCGUUUUGAAAUUUUAAUUUAGCAACAUCAUUAAAGAUUAAAAAAAUAUUUUUUACACGAGAAAAUAGUCACCCAAGCUAAGUAUUGAGAUGUACUCUCUGUUAUAUACCUAAUGCCUCUCUCUCUCUCUCUCUCUCUCUAUAUAUAUAUAUAUAUAUAUAUAUUAUUGUUUAGAAUAUUAGCUGUGUAUAUAGUUGUCCAGAUUUCACACUUUGAUCUAUAAUGUGAUUUGAAUACUCAUAAAAGGUUAUCCAUAGCCUUCGAUCAUCCACUUUUAACAUGCACAAGACAGACUGUACGUAAAAUUUACUUUUGUUUAAAUAAAUGAAAGAUGGAAUGGUUAAUUUGAUUUGAAAUUUUGUUUUUCUCCCCUUCAACUCAUUACGUUCUAUAUAUUUGUAGUGGCGUUGAACCACAACAAACAUGUGAGUAAUUUAGAUACAACUUAAAUUUAGUUUUUAAAUUUGUAAAUUUGGUAUAUAUUUAAGACCGGACUCUUUGAAUUAUAUCAUUAUAAUAUCAGAGAGAAAGAGAAAAGCUAAAUUUGUAGAAAACCUCCUUUCAUAUGUUGGAUUUUAUACUUUAUUUUCUUCAAAUUUUCAGGCCAAAUCAUUCUGUACCAACUAAGAUUUUAUAUUAGAACCACUCACCCAAUCAUAAAAUAAGAAGCGAAAACAGCUCUAAUAUCGUGUUAAAGAACUAGAAUCUAAUCUAAAAACUCAAACUGAGUGGUAAAAAUAACCUUCACAUUAGGUAUACUAUUUUAUUUUUAUCUAAAAAGAAUCCAAACACAAGUACUCUAAUAAUAUAAUUUUGUAUUUUGUAUUUCAAUUAUAUGUACCUUCCAUAAAUAUUGACCCUCACAUUACCCCAUAAAUAUUCAAAACAAAUAAAUCUACAAAAAUAUUAUUUUUGAGACAUUUUCGUAUCAUAAUGUUUUUUUUUGAUAGAUAGGUAGCACGAUACCCGUUUUGUUUAUUUCAUUUAGAAAUAACUUAGCAAAAAAUAUGAAUCAACUAAGAUUCGAACUUGGUUCUCUGGUACUAAUCACCAAGCUUUUUGCCACUUGCUCUAGAAACGGUCGGUUUUCGUAUCAUAAUGUUGCACUGGUGAAGUUACCCGCACAUUGCGGCGGGCUGAUACUAUAAGAGACAUAAGAUUGACAAACUAAAAUAUUUUAAAAUAUUUUCACUUGUCAUGAGAAAUCAAUAAAUAUAAAUAAAAGAUAUGAAACGGAUAUAGCAAAAUUUAUAAUUUCAGCAAAUAAAUUACACGCAAUAAUAAAUAAAAAACAGCAAUAGAACACUACUCCAUAUGCACCUUAAUUGUGUUGCUGAUAUCGGAAAGGCGAAUCUUGAUCUCCACUUCUCAUUUACCGCCAUUGUCAGCGACGAGUUCCUCUUUAAUCACGGCAAUACAUAUCUUAUUUUAUUUAUUUUUUUAUAAUAUUUAUUUGUUUAAAUGACAAUGAAUGUGAACAUAUUAAUUAAGAAAUGGACACGUGGGAGGACGAAACAUCACGCGGAUAUAAAAGAUAAUAAAUUCGAUUAUUAGAAAUUAAAAAGAAGGCAAGGAUGAGAGAAGAAGAUAAGGUUGAAGGAGACUUUGUCAUGUGGCAAAUUUUAUGAGGAAUAAUGUAUAGAUAGAUAGAUAGAUACAGAGGUAUAGAUAGAGAUAGAUAUAGAUGUGCAGGUGCAUGACCAUCCCAAUUAUUUUGCAACCAACGUACGUAUUUAAUCCGGUGACAACUCAAAUUUAAUUAUUGGAGCAAGAAAGUGUAUGAAAGCCCCUAAACUAUAGGCGACGUUGAAGUAGCUCCUUCAAUCUGGUUUAAUUCUCCCUCGUUGCCAUAUUUUAUAUUAGCUUAUGGUAUUGAGUCAAUGCUUUGAGGUGUCGCUAAUAUGUUUGUAUUAUCUCUUAAAUACGUAAUUAAUGCAAGAGAUAAACUACACCCUACUCAAGUUUUUUUUUUCCCUUCUAAUUAGCUGUCGAAGAUUAACUAAAUAUGGACAGUUGAAAGAAACAUUUCUCUACUUUUCUAUUUUUUCUAAAUCUCUUACAUUUUCUCUUAGAUGUACGCAUGGUACGAUAGUCUUUAUAGUUCUAGUUCUAUCACUAUAACAAAGUAUAUUUUAGAUAAUAUUUUUUGGACGACGCUCUAUUAUAACAUCUUCAAUAUUUGGUAUAUAUCAACAGUAUGAUUAAACUUUGUCAAUAAAUAUAUUUUUAUUAAAAUACUAAUAAAUUUUUCGACACUAAAAGUGCAGAAGAUAAGAUUUAUGCCCCUUGUUCACCCUUAUCUUGACCACAUGUUGCGGUCUAGGUUCUGGGGUGAAGAAGAUCUGCAUUAUUGGGCUUUUUGUCUUUACUAUUUUCUUGACCAUUUGGGCAAUAGAAUUAAGCUCCUAUAUUUUUAAAAGUGUAAGCUAUUGAUGUUUAUAAAUUUUCGACUUUUGCAUUAAGAGAAGUGCGGUUAGAAUGAAAAUGAUUUUUUAGGAUUGAAUGAAUGGUUAGUUGAAUAGUGUGAUCUAACGGAUGAAAAUAGUUAAAGGAAUAGAUCUAACGGUGGAAAACUUAAUUAUAAGCACAAAGUACUCUUGAGCAAUAUUAGUUUUUAUAAAUUGAUGAAAAUUGUUAUGCAUUUAAUCCUAUAUAAUUAAGUAGUGGGGGUAACUUCAAAUAUUUACCUCAAAAAGUAUAGAAUACAAUAAAUGUCUUUAGAAAAUUGCCAAUAUCAUUUUCCCCGCUAUAAAUUUAUGAAUUAUAGUAUAACAUAUUCAUUCUCAGCUUAAUUAAGAUUAUUUGAUGAAUUUUCCCCUAAUACGUAAUGACAAAUAAUAUUUUGGUAUUCAUAUGGGACCGCUGAAGUAGUUUCUCUUUAAAAAAUUGAAGCUAUAAGUAGUUUUUCCAGUUUAGUUUGCUCAGUUUAUAUUUAUUAUUUAGUUUAUGAAUUCCGUUUUUGUCUACUUCAAUAUCAUUUGAUUAUCAUAUUAUUCAUAAAUGAAAAUGGUGAAUAAAAAAGUGAAAUUGUAUCGUACAAUUUGUGAAUAUAUAUUUUUAGUUUACUUUGUUUAAAUUAGUAAGAUUGUUUUAUUUAAUAUUUGUAUAAUUUAAUUUCUUUCAAUUAACUAGAUUUUGUUCGCUAUGCAUUUACUGCAUUUAUGAAAUUUGAAAGGUAAAAAUAUAUAGUUUAAUAAAAAAGUAUUGAUGAUUGGCAAUGGGCAACGUAGAAAUGUUGAAAGAGUUGUCACUGAUCUUAAUAUUUUGAAUAAUCUUUUUUUUAAAUUAGCUAAAUAUUUUUGGCAUUAUUAUUUUAGAAGAGCGAUCUAUGUAUAUAAUGUGACUAAGGAUUAGAAGAGGGUACGUAGAUAUGAUGUUAUUCCUAGGAAAUACACUAAUUACCUUAACUCUUUGAAUGGUUUAUAACGCGGAAACAUUUUGAUAUAUAAUAUAAAGGGUGUAAACUCGAUCAUUAAUUACUCUCGUACAUUCUAGUUUUGUAUACUACUCCAGCUCCAAGGAGAACACAUGCAACGUUCGUUUCUAAUAAAACUAUAAUAAUAAAAAAUAUAAGAAAGAUAAAAAAAAAAUUAUAGGAAUAAUAAAUUAUAUUUAUAGCACCAUUAAAAGUUGAAAAUAAAAAAAAAUCAUGCCUCAUAGUUCGACACAAAAAUUACAACUAGUUAUGAUUUGAGGACUAAGACAUCACGUGCUUUAUAGUUUGAGUAAGAAAAUAUAAAUUAUUAAAAUUCGAUAACUAAAGUAUCAUGUAUCUUAUAGUGUGAGGACCAAAAGUGUAAUUUAUCGUUUUAUAUUUUAAUUUUAUUCCUGAAGAACACAGAGUUGAGCAUCGAUGAGUUUAAUUUAAUUAGUAAUUUCAUCUGAGAAAAGACUAUGUUAAACUAUCUAAUAAUUUUAGAAUGUCUAAUUGUUAAAAUUAAAAGUCAACCAAUUAUAUUUUGGAUAUUUUAAAAGAUUUUAAAUGUAAAAUUAAUCGCUUAUUAGACUAUAAAUAUGUGAUAUUAAAAUCAAAAUAAAAAACAUAUAGAAUUUUUCUAAACUUUGAAUCAUUUUAAACCAGAUAUCCAAUCUUUCAAAAUUUUAUUUUUACUAUCCAACUUUUUUAUGUAAUAAAUUUGAGUCGGUAAAUAAUAUUUUGACUUCAUGUAAUUUUCCUAUCUAAAUUUAUUAAAAUAACUAAGUAAUUUAGACUCUAUUAAUCUCUCUUUUAUUUUUAUUGUAUAAUUUAUAUCUAAGUGAUCAAUAUUAUGAAAUUAAAAUUUAUAUUUAGUAUAUAUAAUUUAAACUAUUUAAAAAUUAUAUGUAAAUAAUUAAAUAUUUUAAAUUUUUAUAAUAAAAUAGAGAUAAAUUAGAUUAUCUUAAAAAAAAAAAAAAAAAAAAAGCCUCCAAGUUCAAAUUAGUAAACUGAAAAAAAAAAAAAUAAAAUAAAAUAAACUGAGCCGGCCCACCCCACGUUUACCCUGUAACAAAACAGAGUAUAAUCCAUAACAAAACAGAGUAUAAUCCAUACAUGAACCUACCCCUCAAUUUGGAGAAAAGUAGGGCCAAUUUUUUUUCCUCAUUUUUUUUUUCAUUUGAUUAUUGUGUUAUAGAAAUAAUUUUAAUCAUACAUUUGCAUGAUAUGUGACCUGUCUUGAACAAUAAUCAAUAGUUUGGUUGAAACGGUUAAAUUUUUUUUUAUUAUAGUUUUAUUUUUUAGAAAUGUUUGUCUAUAAUGUAGACCAUAUUUACUAUUCUUUGUACUAAACUGAUAUUUUGUUCUUUUCCAAAUUUUUCACUUUAAUGGUAUCUACCCAUUGUAAUGCGCGGAUCGCUACACUAUAUACAAGAACAUGCUUCGGCGUUUUUCAAUGAAAUAGCAGAUUGUGGAAUACGAAAACGUAAUAUUACACACGAAAAUAAAUAAAAUAUCUUUUAAUUUUUCAUCAUAGGUGACACAAUCAUUCAGUAAUUUCAAAGAAAGCGUAAUUGGAUUAGCAUUUAGUGAGUCAGAUUUCGAUUUCUUACAUCAUAUAGUGUGUGGGCAUGUACACAAUUGCACCGCACAGAGAUAUAGAUGGACAAUUCUAAUAACUGCAACACGUACUCUAGCUUUACGUACCGUUGCUUGAUGAUCUUAUUCCUCAAAACAGCAUAAACUUACAAAAUACAAACAGUUGGCUACUAUAUAUUAAGCAGCCAGCGGAACUGACAAUAACACAAAACCAAAACAACAAAUGAAAACAACAAGCCCUACUCGAUCAUACAGAUAAUCCUCGCACGAGCAUCGCCCGUUUUAUUACAUAGCUUAUAAGGUACGUAGCACGAAGGGCACUUCACUGCAUGCAAAAUCGCAGCUUCGAUAACCCUUACAUGGAGCUUACACGAUCAUCCGAACCCAUGUCGGAGGGUUCUGUAGUGCGCUGCGACGAAACCAGAGUCGGGUAAAUACCGUAGCUAGCCAGACCACAUAAUCCAGGAUAUGCCGUGUCUCUUAACAUCCUCACGUAUCCAUUUUCUCCCCACGUGUUGCCCCAUGAAUUUUUUAUUAUCCAAUACUUGUCUCCGGUGCUGCUGUCCUGCCCGUAACCUACGACGGUGACGGCGUGGAAAAUAUUCGUCCCACAAGGUCCUUUAAAGAUACCGCCAUUGUAGUGAUUGAAGUAAUAAGAGCUAGCAUCAAUAGCAAUAACUGUCGGCUGGUUCGCCACAGCAUACAUGAUCGCACGUUCAUUGUAGCUAGGUUGUACCUGUUGAUAGCCGGUAAUAUAAGCUGCGUUCGGUUUGCUAUUUGCAGCGCAAGUGCCUUUAUAUCCUACAUAGGGAUAGUUCGCCUGCGCGGUCACGCCCUUGUUAGCGAUGAUGAAUUCGUAGGCUUUGUGCACCCAACCAGAUGUGCACCCGUUGCUAACAGUACAAUCUAAAACUUCUUGCUCCGAUAGAGAUAUUAGUUGUCCUGUUUUGAUCUUGUAGAUGCCUUCUACCGUCGCGAUUGAAGAGAAUGCCCAGCAAGAACCUAAUUUCAAAACAUAUAUUCAAGUAAUUAGCACAACUGGUACAAGCAAAAGUUUCGUAGAUUAUUAAUUAAGAUGUAAGAAGAACAUUCAAACAAGUAUGGACAAGGUGGAAAUAUUGAUUACUGUAUUACUUUAUUAUCUAUGUUGUUUACUUGUGUGAAAAUGAUUAAUGUCGUCAUACUUCUUGUCAGAAAUUAAUUUUUCUAGAAACUUAAACUAUCGAAGAAUGAUUUCUAAUUAUUAAGAAUUAAUACACCUUACGUGUAAUCUACAAAUUUAUAGAUAGUAGAUGAUAACGUGUGUUCGUACACUUUUAGUUCGUCUGAGACAUGAACCUUGCAUUUAAAUGCGGUAGAGGUUUGAUUUCUUUGUCAACAUAAAUGGCUGAUGGAACAGUGAGAUUUGGGCCCAAGGCAUCCUAUUCUCAUCAGGUUAAUUAAAAAAUAAAAUUUGUAAAGGUUCAGGAUGCUAUAGCUAGAAAUUAAUGUGCUUUAGUUCUCUAAACUCAACACUUGAUUCUUACCGCAAGAGCCUUGAUUCUUGACUGGUGUGACGGCACCGUAAUCCCUCCAAUCAAUGCUUUGAGGUAUCGCGGACAUGUUUACAUCCUCAAACGACACCGAUGGCUCUAAAUUUGUCAUAUUUAGAGGAAGAGAUAGACCGACAUGCUGAGCCACAAUUUCAUUAUUUGUCAUGUCAGCGAAUUGGUUAAUGCCCAGAGUAUACGAGUUUCCGCCACGCCUGUUAAAGGCUUCGAUGCGGUUUACAUUGUCUUUAAAGAUCUCAAAACGGCGCAUCUUCUCAGCAUCGUCACUGUAAACUCGGCCGAAAUCAGCCAUCCAUUCUUCAAACCUCUUCAUCAUCGAAUCAUCUGCUUCGCCGCGAGAAGCCAACGACGAAGCCCACAUCACAGAAAGAAACAAAAAAAGAAACAAUAUUUGGAAUUUGGAAGCCAUAGCUCUGACUUACAAAUGCUUUUGUUGCUGAGAGUUAGGCUCUCCGCAUCGAGUUUAUAUAGAAGUUCUCGGCCCAUGCACUAAAGUUGCUGGACCAUUAAAUNUCGAAUCAUCUGCUUCGCCGCGAGAAGCCAACGACGAAGCCCACAUCACAGAAAGAAACAAAAAAAGAAACAAUAUUUGGAAUUUGGAAGCCAUAACUCUGACUUACAAAUGCUUUCGUUGCUGAGAGUAAGGCUCUCCGCAUCGAGUUUAUAUAGAAGUUCUCGGCCUAUGUACUAAAGUUGCUGGACCAUUAAAUUUUAAUUUUUUAAAAACUUUUUUUAGAGGAAAAGAUACAACGUGCAUGUGAUGAAAUCAUUAAUUAAUUUCUCUCUUAUCCAUUGUUCGAUAGGAAAGUCGCAAUCAAGAGAGGUACAACUUUUCACUCCGUACGCGAGAGUUAUAGUGGCUGAGCUUGCCCCUCCAUGUGUGUUGACGUACGUCGUUGCAUGAUUGAUAAUACAGCAUGCGUUGCACAACAGGAAUUAAAAAUACAGCAUGUGCAUGCGCAACAGGAAUUAAAAAAUACAGCAUGUGUCGCACUAUAGGAAUAAGAAUAAGAGCCGCACAUAAUUUUAAAAUGAUAUAUGUACAUUAACAAAUAUUAUUAUUGUUUACAAUAGCUCUUUUUCUUUUUUUUUUCUUUUUUUUUUGAGAGGAAUCUCAUCAAAAAUAGAGAAUUGUCUAGAUAUCUAUCGUUUCCUGAUGUGUCGAUAUGUUGAAGGUGUUUUGGAUUAUAGUGGCGUUGGACCACAACAUACAUGUGAGUAGUUUAGAUAUCAUGUUAUUUUCUGUAGAUAUUUAAGAUUUCGAUAAAUUGAACUACAUGUCUCUAUUUUUUAAAAAAUUUGAUAUAUAUUUAAGACAUGACUCUUUCAAUUAUAUCAUGCUAGUUCUUAUUCUGAAUAAAAAAAAGGGCUAAAUUUUUUCUGAGUAGAUUUUUCUUUUUUCUUUUUCUUUUCUCUCUCUCUCUCUCUCUCUUUUGAGACCUAGUAGUCUUAUAUUUUGUAGCUAAGUUUAUUUUCGAAAUGAAUGAAGCAGAUAGCUUGCUAUCUUUUUCUCAAAAAAAAAAAAAAAAAAAGCUUAAAUUGAAUCAGUCAAACCUAUCCCCUGCUGUGUAUCAGUUACAACCUCAAUUUUAAAUAUGUUGAAAGGCAAAUUGCACUAAUAAUCUCAACAAACUUCUAUUUUUAGUCCUCAAUUUUAAGUUUUCAAUAUUUGGGACUCGUGACUAUCCAUUCUAGUGCUUAGUUAAAAAAAGUAAAAAAUACAAAAAAUUACGAGCAAAUUAAGCUAAAUUGUAGAAAAGCUCCUUACAUAUGUUGGAUUUUACACUUUUUCUUCAAUAUUUAAACUAUCAGCCAAAUCAUUAUAUACUUUACAACCACUCGCACCAAUAUAAAUUAAGAAGCGAAAAAAGUUCUAAUAUCGUGUUAAAGAACUGAAUCUAAUCAAAACAAAGUCACGGUAAAGAUAACUCUCACAUUAGAUGUACUAUUUAAUAUUAUCUAAUAAUAUAACCAAACAAGUACUCUAUAGAUGAGCGUACAUGCUAUCAGAAGCAGUCGAUGAGCUUCCCGUGCCUUCCAAGUCGUUUUGACUGUUGCGACUUGCGAAUCGUCGAUCGACUCCGUUAAACUUGAUCUAGAGUAUUUGAAGUACCUAGAAAAUAAAUUUUAUGAUUUUACGAUAUCAUUUGCCUAGUGAACGAAGGAGCUCAAAAUCAACGGCUGAAAAUAAAAAUCUUACAAAAUAUAAUAAUAUGACAUUAAAAUUUUAAAUCAAAGAUAUUUAUCUUGUUUUAUAUAGUAUAAAGAAUUUUCUAUCAAAAUUUCACGUGAUUUGGAUAUUUCUACACCGUUAAACUUGCAAACGGCUCACUACGGCCAUUGAAAUUUGUUGAUUUUGAGCCCAUUCGAUCACUAGGCAAAUAAUAUCGAAAAAUAAUAAAAUUUAUUUUCUAGGUACUCCAAAUACUCUAGAUCAAGUUUAACGGAGCCGAUCGACGAUUCGAAAGUCGCAAUAUCGAAAACGAGUUGGAAGCACGGAAGGCUCCGUGCUUCCGAUAUCAUAGUAGCCUCACUCCUCUAAUAAUAUAAUUUUGUAUUUUGUAUUUCAAUUAUAUAUACUUUCCAUAUUGACCCUCACAUUACCCCAUAAAUAUUCAAAACAAAUAAAUCUACAAAAAUAUUUUUUUUUGAGAUAUUUUUGUAUCAUAAUGUUGCAUGUGCAUGUGCAUGUGCAUGACUUUUCAAAUUGCCUGGGACAAAAAUAUUAUAUGUUUGGGGACUUUGCGGAUCGGCGCCACGUGGUCGAUUCAAUGGUCACGGAUCUCAGUUGCUUUUUCUCUCUCUCUAAAAACACAGAAUUUUUUUUUUGUCUUUCCAUCCGUGGCCAUCGGAUCGGCCACGUGGCACCAAUUUGCAUAGUCCCAAACACAUGCCCAUAAAAUUUUUGUACAAUUGUCUGGGGGCCAUCCCAAUAAUUUUGCAGCCAACGCAUUCAAUGCGGUGACAACUUAAAUUUAAUUAUUGGAGCAAGAAAAUGUGAAACCCUUAAACUUUAAGCGACUUUGAAAUAGCUCCUCAAUAUGGUUUUUCCCUCAUUGCCAUGUUUUAUAUUAGUUUAGGGUGUGUUUAGUUCUACCUAAAAUUGUUCCAAUUUUUUUUUUUCGGUUGAAAAGUAAAAUCUCAAAACAGAACCAGAAACCAUAAUGUCGAAGCAAACAACAGAACCAGAAACCAUAAUGUCGAAGCAAGCUUAGCAAUUGGAUGCAGCAAACAUCCAUAUUUAUGCAAGUUAAGCAAACAAGAUAGCAAACUGCAGUGUUGCUAAAUCAUUUGCUUCCCACUUAUUAAGAUGAGCACAAUGUCGAAAAAAUAUUAUUAUUAUACUUUCAAAAAUACAAUUAAUUUAUUAUUGAUAAUGUGGUAUAAAUAUGAUACGGUAAAUUUUCUCAUCGUCAUUUGUUUGGACCGAUACGAUGUAAUCGGGAGGGGUACAACUUUCACUCUUACGCAAGAGUUAUUGCUGUUGAUGUGUUGUUUAUUGGGACAAAAGUUUUAUAGGCAUAGUGCUCAAACUAAUUAAUUUGGAGAUUAUGCGGACUGAUGCCACGUGGCCGAUCCGACGGCUACGGAUGGAAAAAAAAAAAAAAAAAAAUUCGUGAUUUUAGAGAGAGAAAAAAAAGCACGGAGAAUCCGUGCCCGUCAGACUGCCACAGGGCGGCCGUAUCCGCAUAGUGCCCAACCAAACUAAUUAAUUGAGCACUACAGCCCAUAAAAUUUUUGUCCGUUUAUGGAAUUAUUUUUUCAGGAGAAGAAUGACGCUAAUCUGCUACCAUAAUAAAGAGGGUGAAUUAAUAGCUACAAGGAUGAGGACAGCAACGUGUCACAGAAAGAGAGACAGAAAAAAAAACAACGAAAAAAAACAUAGGAAGGUAGUUUCGAUUACAAGACCCAAAGAAUGUUCCAAGAGUUUUAUUGGAAUGAUACGCGAAUCAUGUUUGCACAACGGGAGGAGGAGCAAAUAAGAGAGCAAGCAUAAAAAUUACAACGCGAUUCACGCUCUCUUAAAAUAUUAUAAAUAUUUACAAAAUACCUUUUAAGCGAAAAUAGUCCCAUCAAAACAUAUGUUGAGAGUUACAAAUAAGGACGUGUUUUGGUUCGCUUUUUUUUCGCGCCUGGAAUCAAACUUCGAAAUCGGAAUGGGUAAAUCACAUUUGUGGGUGUUGGUACGGCGGAGUGCCAUCCAAUUCCCGAUGCCCGAGUGGACAUGGAAUCCCCCAAUCACUCUCUUUUCAUUCCGCGGCUUAGGAGGCCGAAUUGAAAUUGAAUCCGACGGAAUGAUAUUUAAUUCGGAUUAAAUUUAUUUUUAAUUGUUUUUAAUUAAACAUAGAGUUAAAAUCAAAAUUAAAAAUAUAGUAAUUUUUAAAUUUAAUUUAAAACCUAAAUUAAAAUUAAAAUGUAAAUCAAAGUAUUUCGAAUACUAAACUUAAUGAAUUGAAUUUAAAAAUUAAAUUUUAAAAUUUAUAUAAAGUUUUAUUCAAAUUUAUUGCAACCCUAAAUUAAAUUUAUGAUUCAAAUUAAAAAUUUAAAUUUGUAAAUUUUAAGUUGAAUUUGAAUAAAUCUAAAUUUAUUUCAUAUUUUUAAUUCAUCACACUCACUUAAAGUUUAUUUUUUUAAAAAAAAUAGAUUUUAAAUUUGACAUUAUUCAAAUUUUGAUAUAAAUUUUAAUAUUUAAUUUUAAUUUGAAUUUAAAUUAUAUAUGAAAAGAUAAUGUUAGUAUAGUUAAUUGAUUACUUUUUAUAUCCACCUGAACCAAACACUGAAUAAGGAAUGAUUUAUGCGAUUCCGAUUCAAGGUAUUAAACCAAAUCAGGGAAUAGUAAGAGCAAUUAACAAUUCCGAUUCCAGCUUUUGGAUUCCGAUUACGCGAUUGCCGACUCCGAUUUUCGAACGACAAACACUGCCCUAUUACCAUUGACUUUUACCAUUGACUAUUAUAUAUCUAUUAAUAGUCGGCUUAAAUUUUUAUAGUGAUAUCAAUAAAAAGGGGGGCGACGAUAUUGCCCAGGCCAUUCAUUGAAGAGGACAUGACCCUACAUAUUUUUGAAAUGCCCUCUAAAUAUUUUAUGCAAUACAUUUAUAUCAUCAUGCAUCACAAUGAAUAAUUAAAAAUAAAAAUAAAAAUAAAAAUUAGAAUUAAAACUAAAAUUAAACUUUUAAUGUAAAUAAAAGUGCAAUCAAAUUUAAAUCUAAAUUUAAAUUGAAAUAAAUAAAACUAAUUCAACAUCUAAUUUGACAAGUAACAUUAGUGAAUUCUUAAUUGGAUUCAAUUGAAUUUUCAAAUUCGAAUUACAUUUGAGUGCAGCUAAGAUCAAAGUUUAAAUGAAAAUUGACCAAAUAAUGUAAGCUGAAAUGCAGCUAUUGCGUUACAAGUGCCUGGUAAUGCUUGAUAAGGAUAGUAAAGCGCGCUUCGACAGGUCACCCGUUGUUAGAUAUUAUGAAACGUAGCCUUGUCCACCCAACCGCCUGCACCCAUAGUCCGUAGUUUAAUAAUACAACAGCACAAUCGAGAACUUCUUUCUCCGAAAGAGAUACUAAUCCCUGCUUUGACUUGUAGAUCUCUUUCACUGUCGCAUAUUGCACUGAAGCCUGCAAAACCUAUGCAGAACAAAGUUUUACGUAGCAUAACUAACUAGAGACAAAGUUAUAUAAUGAUAUACGCAUGAACUAAGGAAACAUUCAAACUAACAUAAUUAACGUUAUUUGCAAGUACAGAGCGCUUUUAACUUGUUUAAGAUUUUGAGUGUUAUAAAAUUGUCACCUAAAAGAUAUUGGCGGUUUGAACUCUCAUACACGACAUGUUUCAAAAUUUAGAAAAUUAACUAGUAGAGGAAAAAGUACAGACUAGAGGAUCACAUUUCGGAAAUUCUGAAGAUGAUUUUUCGGCCAAUCCAGAUUCGCAGCACACAUUAGAACAAAAUAAUGAUUUGAACACUCUAACAAGAUAUAGCAGUGUUGCGCACUUUAAUAUGCACAAACAUAACUAUACGAAGUAUGUUGUAUACAUUAAAUUUACUAUGUCCAAAUAAUAGGUUAAAGAUGGAAUACGAAUGAGAUUGAUUUCUUUUUUUUCCGCUACAACUCAGUUAGGUUUUGUUCUUUUACAGUGGCGUCCGACCGCAAACAUACAUCAUACCGAUUAUAUACUCAGAUCCAAUUUUAUUCGAACCAGAUAAUAUAGAAUUUGUAAUGCACUAUAGUCCUAAAACCUUAAUUAGUUAGGCUAAAUAAGAAAAAUCCUCUUGUUAACCAUCUGUUUUCACUUCCUCCAUGCUGCAUUUAAAAAUCUAUAACCUUGCGCCCCCCUAAAAAUAAAAAAUAUUCAUAUUCGGUUCCUGCCGUCAGUUUCUAGUUGAGGUUCCAUUUCAUAUCUUAUUUUUGUAAUUCAAAAUAUUUCUGAAUUCUCAUCUACUAUCCACACACCAUGACCGCCUCGCUCUGCCCACUCCCCUUCAUAGCGUAGAUGCAUCCACGCCUGCUCUCUGCCGCCUGGAAUGACAAGAUUGGGGAACAGAAAUAAAGAAAAGUAGGAACAUUUGUUCAUCUUUAUCACACCAAUAUCAUUCUAUAAAUACGUUUUUAUUUUUCGAUAAAAAAAGCAAAGUAUCAUGAUUUUUUUUUAAAAAAAACAAGAAAAACGGCUUUGCUAAAGGUUUCAUAUAAUAGCCAUUUAAUUAAUGCGAGCAACAUUCGCAAACUGAAAAAUGCUAGAAUGCACGGUUAUAAUUAGUGACCGUACGCGGCAUAACAAACCAAUUACAUUAAUCCUUUUAAAAAUAUAUGUCCGCAUCAUGAAUGUAAAGAGUAUUUAUUGUACUUUAUUUUGAAAAGAUGAUAUGAUUGGCUUUUAUGAGACGUGGUGCAAAUGUGACAGUGAGAUUCCUCUUCCAAACAUAAGGCACGCCCUCAGCUCAAACAUUCCAAACUAGGUCCAAACGUUCUUCUUUUUUUAAAAAAAAGUUGAGUUUUGUUUUUAUUUUUUUGAUAAUUAGAUUAAAAUAUUAUAAGAUUUUUAUCAGAUUUUCCUGUGAUCCAUCAAAUUUAAACAGUUGACCAUUCUGCAUUGAACUUAAUAAUUACUAAAAUUCAAGAUAUAUUUAUCAAAUAUAUCAAAUAAAAAUUCAUAUAUUUACAUAGGCGAAGGUACGUAGGACGUAAUGCAUCCCAAAUGGAUUAACCAAGUUCAUCGCAUCGAAACCAAAACGCAUACUUAACAAAAAACGCGUCUUUUAUUUAGUAACUGCCAAAGAUGAAGAACCAUUUCGGUCAGAGAACACCUAAUAUUUUUAAGUAAGAUUCAAAAAACCUCCAUGUGAAUUCGUAGUUUCUCACUGUUGCCUCCCUGUGUUUAAAAUGUAUCAAUUGCUCCCCCGUGUUCUUUUUCUCUUUUUUAUCAUUGCAUUUAUUUUUUAUCUUAAUCAGUCUAAAGUUAAAAUAAAAGUAUAAAAUAAAUAUUUGAUAACUCUAGAUGGAUAUCUGAAGUUUUGUAUAUAAUUUGAUGAAAUAUUAAGAAAAACUACCAAAAAAUAAAAAUGAAACCACAGGGGGCAAUAUUGAUACAUUUUACACCACAGGGAGGUAAGUGAAAAACUACGAAACCAUAGAAGGGAGUUUUUGAAGUUUUUCUUUUAAAAAAAAAAAAUUAUUUAAAUAGACUAAUUUUUUUAAAAAAAUAUUAUUUAUUUAUGUAAUUCAAUGACUAUAAUUGUAAUAGAAUAAAUUUUCUCAUUUAUUGAAUAUUUUUUUAAAAAAAAUUUUUUUUUAUUGUAAAUUUUUGAUCCGUCUGCUGAUCUCCAUCUAUUAUGGUCAGAAUUGAGAGAAAGCUAGAUACACAAGCCAUUGCAUAAGUUACAGAUAUGGUGUGGCUCAGUCGAGUAGGUUAACGGCAAACCCUUAUUUCCACCCAUAGUUGGCCGCACAUACACAAGUUGCAUUGCAUAAAGAGACCAUGUGAUCCAUUUAUAGUACUAACCAAGGCACACUAGUCCACAUAAAUGAAGGACACAUCAUUAUAGAUUUCAAACUUAACAUACUGAUAGAGACACACCGGAAACAAAACAGAAACCCACAAUGUCGAAACAAGCUAGCACUUGAUGCACGCAAAAUCCUUAUUUAUGUAAGAAACGCAAAUAAGUAGGCAAACUAGCAGGUCGAAAAAAUCAUUUGCUGUUCCGACUUAUUACGUAGCUUCAAUUUCAGAAACCCAUCUUAAUAACUUCGGCAUUAGCCCUGAUUGGAAGUAGGAAUAGAGGAGACAUGCGAUUCCACAUACUCCAGAAGACGAUACACAACUCUGCCCAUAACGACGUAUCCACUUCUCCCCCCAUGACUGCCCCCACGAGUCCUUACUAUCUAAUAUUUUUAGUUCCACGGCUAUCAUGCCCGUACCUAUAAUGGUAAUGGCAUGAUUAGAGACUAGUUCACACAGGUCCGGCGCUAAACACAACCCCAUUGUAAAUUGAAAGUUUCACUGGCAUCGAUAAGAGCACUAUGUUGAUUCGACACAGCGCGUACAUAUGCUGCGUCAAUCGUUCCUUCGCACAUAUGAAUAACCAGUAAUGUAAGCUGAAUUAGAACAGCUAUUGGCGUUUGGCAAGUGCCAUUGAGCUAUGCUUGAUAAGGAUAGUUUUUCGUGGUCACACCGUUGUUUAUGAUAUGAUGAAAUCGAGGCCUUGUUCACGAAACCUAGCCGCCUUUGCAACCGCUACUACAGCACAUCGAGGAACUUCUUGCUUCCGAUAAAGAUACUAAGUUACCCCUGUUUUAUCUGUAGAUUCCCUCACCGUCGCAAUUGCACGAAUGACCAGCAAGAACCUAUGCCAAACAAAAGAUACGCGUUAGCAUAACGACGAAGCAAAGUUAUAUCUGAGAUGCAAUGAUAUAACGAAUAUCCUCACAACUCAACAAUAAUAUAAAUGUUUUUGGCAAUACAGACUGCUUUUAACUUUAUUUCAAACGGUUUGUCAAGGCAUAUGGAGUCCUGUUCUUUUUGACUACAACGACUUUGGCUUACUUUAUAUAACUGAUUAUGGCAUAACUCAAUUAAUAGUAAGAGAACUCAGCAAAUAGAGCUAAUUGCAAAUAGAUUGAAUCAAGUCGAAGCCUGUGAACAUUGUCCUUGAAUCCUUAAAUGCGAUGGAUGUGUCCUUUUUAUCACCAUGUAUGUAUUUUUGGAUAGUUAAUUAACACUUAUAUAUACAUUUGAUGGCUAAGUUGAUUUUUUAUUAACUAGAUUCAAUACUUCAUUUCUUUGUACAUUGAUAAUGUGUGAUUAUACAUGUUUAGACACUUUUAAUCAGCCAAAGUAAUGGAAUUAUUGAGUUUUAGUGGGCGGAAAUUUGGUCCUUUUGUCCAGAAAAGGCAGAAGGCAUUCGGUAGCAAGCAUAUUUGAUCUAAGCAACAUGUUAGCAGCAUCUUAUAAAGUUAACUAAGAAUAAUUUUUUUUUCUUUUUUCUAGUUGAAGAAAUGAAGUUGCAUUGACAAUUUAUAGUCUAAAUUAUUUCUUACCACAGGGGUUUUGAUUCUUGACCUCGUUUACGGCACCAUAGUCUCUCCAAUCAAUACUUUGAGGCACCGCGGAGAUGUUUACGUCAUCAAAUGACACCACUGGCUCUCUCUCGAUAUUUAGUGGGAGAGAUACGCCGGUAUAUUGAGCAACAAAUUCGCUUUUUGUCAUAUCGGUAAACUGAUUGAUACCGAGAGUGUACGAAUUUCCGUUGCGACUGUUAAAGGUUUCGAUAUGCUUCACGUUGUUCUUGAAUAUCUGAAACCGGCGCAUCUUCUCGUCGUUGUCCUUGUAAACUCGGCCAUACUCCGCCAUCCAUUCUUCAAACCGCUUCAUCAUGGGAUCACUGGGUUCGUCACGAGAAGCUGCCGAUGGCGAAGCCCACAUCACACAGAGAAACAUGAAAAGAAACACGAG
rnacentral:lncRNA from 1 species